UUUUUUUUUUUUUUUGGUGUAGCUUGUUUGGGUUUGGUUAAGUAAUUUAGUUUUUUUUUUUUUUAAUCAAAAUAAUUUAUUGAUUAGAAAUUGCCUUAACUAGAUUGCUGACAUGUGCGCCGCACGGGUCUUAGACUGAAUGAAUUCGUAUAUAAUUGCAUGCUGAUUAAAUUGAAUAUUGAGAAAUCCAAGUUAUUCAAUAGUUUCAUGUAGCCAAUAUUAUAUAUGACACGAUGAAUUUUUUGAGAUUCUCAAAACAACGUAUAUUAGAUUUAUUCAUAUCAAACAUUUUGAAAUACUUCUUCGUAGACUACGUUAGACGUCUCAUCCAUAUCCUCGUCAUCUUUGUUAGUUAUCAGUAUCUUCAGCCCUUCAUCUGUAUGCACAUCGGUAACUAAUACUCAUUUUGAUCAUUAUCAUAAGUAAAACUCCACUUUAUAAGUGCAUUGAAUAAUCAAUGUAUCUAGUCUUUAUUAUAGACUGGGUACAUUCAUUAUUCAAUGUAUCUAAAAAAUAAAAUUUUACUCAUAAUAGUGACCGGUGGGAGUAUCCUUUUAAAUAUAAACAAUGAACCUUUUUUUUUAAAGGAAUAAACAAUGAACCUAAGUAAGAGAAUUACCACCUAACGAAGAUUUAAUUAAUGCAAUAAGUCUAUCAAUAAUCAUUGAGAGGAAGGCUAACAGAUCUUUCACCAAACUAUGUUUUUGUCUACAGCGUAAAUUAAUGCCCUUGGGAAGCAAACAGCCGUCUGACCCAAAAUUGAAUAAAUAUCAGUCUAAUUAUUUAUAAAGAAUUAAAACUAUUUUUUACCAUUAUUUUUAAAAUCAUCAGUCAAAACUAAAACGUUAAUGAUUGCCACUGUAAAAUCAUCAGUCGAAAUCAAUCACUUCAACUUCUUCUACUAAUUUCCACGUAUUAGCACACUCACUUAGAAAAUUGAACAGCAAAUACAUUUGCCUACCAUGAACAAUCACAACUAACCAAUGUGGCACUAAUAACAUAUCUUAAUGAACUAAUAAAUCACUUCAUUGAUAAAGGCAAUUUAGUCCGUGUUUGCAAUCACAAAGGCAAUUUAGACAAUAUUCGAUCUCUAAACAAAGUAAACAAUUGACUUAUAACUUAAAUUCAUUGAUAACGAAUUUAACUUAAGCAUCAUGUGAUCACCAAUACUGGAUGCUUAAAAUAAUAUUCUAUAUAGCUAAUAACAAAAAUUGAUGCUUCACUACAUUGAUAAUUGCCAAAAUCUAAAACAUCAAGCCAAAAAGAUCCCCAAGAAGGCCAAAAUAACUAAAUGAAAACAGCAGGAAACAAAACCCAAAAGACACUUGAAAACUACAUUGGCAAUCUAAUUUCUUCUUAAUUGCCAAUCAAUGUACAUAGAUAGUGUGGCCGCCCUGUCCAGAAUCUGCUCAUAUCGACCUUCAUAUUUUAGCAUCUAUGCAAGUAAAAGUCACAGAAACAAAAUGCACAUUACGUACAAAAACAUUUUGAAGUUUGUGUUGAGAGGAUUAAUGGUUCUUUUUUUUUCUUCACUAAAGGAUGAAGCUGAUUUUCAAACACAGCUUGUCGACAACCUUGUCAAUCUCACAAACAUGAUUAUUCAUCGAAGGACCUGUUAUGUAACCAAACAUCAACAUGUUAAGUACAAAAUAACCACAUAAAAAAAGAUCAACGUGUAUUUGGUGAGAUAUAUAUCAGUUAAGCAGUGGUAUGCAAGCAAGGUUUCAAGAUGGAUAUGUGAAUUUGAAACGGCUGAUAGUGUUAAACAACCAAGCUGAUAUGGUUCCAUUAUGUAUUACAUGUAUAUAUAUAGUUAGGAUAUAGGAUAGUUAGGUAGAUUGAUAUGCAUGGGAAAUCGCUUAUGGUGUGUUGAGUGGAGAAAUGUAUUUUUUCCAUAUGGUUUGUAACGUCCUAAUUGUUAUUUAAUUAUUUUUAGUUGAUUUAAAGUCUUUUAUAUCAUUUUAAAUGAUUUAUGUUGAUUUUGUGGUGUGGUGUAUUUUAUUAAAUGGUUAUUUUCAUUAUUUAAUAGAAUAAGUGGAAACUAUUAUUAGUUUAGAAAUUAGGGAGUUAAUUAGGAUUUAAUAAAAAUUAAUGGAGUUUAAUGAAAUAGGGAAGUUAUAGUUUGGGAGUUAGAAAAAGAAAGAAAAACAGUCAGAACGUUUUAACGUAUGAAAACUAGCUUUUGGGAGAAAAGGGAGAAGAAGAGCAAGAACAAGAGAGGAGGGCUUAGGAACCGAUUGUGCUGUGUAAUCAUUCUGCAAAACUAAGGUAAGGGUGAGGCUAACCUUCAAUGAUUAUAAUAUAUGAUUUCUGAAAAUUGUUUGAUUAGAAUUGUUCUUGAAAAAUAAGAAUUGGGAAUUAGGGUUUGAUGAUGAUUCUGAGGGGAAUGGGUAUUGAUCAUGUUAAUUCUGUUGUAAUGUAAUGUUCAGAAUGAAAAUUUAAUCUAUACUGUUGUUAUGAUCAUAAAUUGAUUGAAAUUAUGAUUGAUUGGAUGAAUUGAUGAAGAUUUGUAUGAUGGUGGAGUGAUCUAUAUUUGUUGUCGAGCCGGAAGCGAGCUGUAAGCGAACAGCUACUGUAAGUAGUUCGCUUAAGCGAAGACUCGUUCGCUUAAGCGAAGUGCCUUUUGACAGCAUUUCUUAUUUCGCGUUCUUGUGUCUUUUUCACACGUUUCUGUUUUGAAUUGGCCUUUGGUGUAAACAUGGAAGUUUUAGAUAAUUUUGUUAGCUUUCCAAUGGCUUCGGUGUGACUUUAAAAUGAUUUUUGGUUUAGGAGUUAUGAUGAAAAUACUUCAAGUAGGUCUUAGGGAAAUCUUAUGAAAAUUCAGCACAACCAUUUCCAAGUUAAUCCAAAACUUAUGGGAUAAUUCCAAUGCUCAAAACUAGAAGUAAUAUGAGUGCAAUUAAGGUGUUUAAUAGUAUUUAACCCAUGUUGUGAGUUGACCCUUGGGGUAGGAAUGGAGGUUGAUUAUAGUACUGUUGAUGUUGAGUGAGUCAGAUAUAAUAUGAUUUGAUGUUGUUAGUAAUGAGAUAUAUUUGUAUAUGCAUUAUGUGGAUUAUAUGAGAUGUUUAUGUGAUGCAUAUGUUGCUGUUGUAAAUUGAUUAAGCUGCAUGUGUCGGUCUAAGAUGUAAGAUGUUGACCAAGUUGUGGAGUAAGUUAUAAUUAUUUAUGCACAGUCGUCGUUGUCUANNNNNNNNNNNNNNNNNNNNNNNNNNNNNNNNNNNNNNNNNNNNNNNNNNNNNNNNNNNNNNNNNNNNNNNNNNNNNNNNNNNNNNNNNNNNNNNNNNNNNNNNNNNNNNNNNNNNNNNNNNNNNNNNNNNNNNNNNNNNNNNNNNNNNNNNNNNNNNNNNNNNNNNNNNNNNNNNNNNNNNNNNNNNNNNNNNNNNNNNNNNNNNNNNNNNNNNNNNNNNNNNNNNNNNNNNNNNNNNNNNNNNNNNNNNNNNNNNNNNNNNNNNNNNNNNNNNNNNNNNNNNNNNNNNNNNNNNNNNNNNNNNNNNNNNNNNNNNNNNNNNNNNNNNNNNNNNNNNNNNNNNNNNNNNNNNNNNNNNNNNNNNNNNNNNNNNNNNNNNNNNNNNNNNNNNNNNNNNNNNNNNNNNNNNNNNNNNNNNNNNNNNNNNNNNNNNNNNNNNNNNNNNNUCGUUCAAAGCGGUGGAACACUAUGUUGUUCAAAGCGGUGUUAAUGGGAGGACUCAUGUCCUGAUGAAAAGAAUGUUUUAACCAUUCUAUAACGGUGAGGGCUUCGGCUCUGAUAUGGUACCACAUGCAUAGUUGCAUUUGUUGAGGAGUCUUAGUUGAGUUGUCAUGUCUUGCAUGAGUCUUAGCGGUGGUGUCGAGUUGUUGCAUGAGUCGAAGUUAUUGGUUUUUAUUACCAUUGGAUGUUGAUGUUGUUAAUGAUGAUAUAUUUAUAUAUUGAUGAAUUAUUAAUAUGACAGGGUGUUAGAUUUAAUUGAUGAAUUAGAUAUCUAUUAUUGAUGAUAUUGUUGAUUAUGAAAUAUAUACAUAUAUUGGAUAAUUGUAGUUGUCGUUGUUCUUGAGAGAUUUGUUGUUGUUGAUGAUGAUUAUGUAUGUUGUGAUGAUAAUUAUGAAUGUUGUGAUGAUGAUUACAUGAUGUUAAGCUAUGAGUUGUUAAAUGUACUUGAUGAUGGUUAUGAUAAGUUAAUAAGUUGUCUUUUAUUCAUGAAUUGCUAAUGAAAUGUUUGAUGAAUAAUUAUUAUUAUGAAUUGAUGAUGUUACGUAUAGUUGUUAAGUUGUCCUCUAUUCAUGAGUUGUUAAUAAGGUGCUUGGUGGAGAAUGUUAAUACGAAAUAAUGAAGUUGUCAUGUUGUAUAUGAAUUAUGAGUAUGAUGUUAUAUGAUUACGAUUAACAUGUUGAUCAUGAUGUUAAAUGAUGUUGUUAUGAUGUUGUUUAUGAUAUCAAGUUAUGACUGUUAAUAUGAUGAGUACAUGAUAUGGUUUAGGGGUCGUUAAAAGAAUUAUUAUCAAUAAUUAAUGGAGUUCAAGUUGUUAGAUGCAUUUGAAGAAUUAUAUAUUAUUAUUAUUGAUUGUGAAUCUCACCCCUUCUGCUUGAAAAUGUUGCCCUUCGUAUGGGUAACUUGCAGUUAAUAAAGUUUAGUAGGAGUGGUGGCUCAAGUGUCUUAGGGCUCUGAUACGUAACGGGAUGGGAAAUUGUUGCUAAGUUUAUCAUUCCUUUAUGUAUCAAUUUUGGAACAUGUUGUUGAAGCUUUUAUUGUUGUUGAAUUAAUUCCGCUGCAAAGUUUUAAUUAUUACGUUGUUGAAAAUUUGAAGGAUAAUUAUUUAAUUAUUCCAUUUGUGAUUUUUAAGAAAAGAAGUGUAACAUUCCGUUUAAGGUGUUUUACUCUGAUUGAUUUUAUGAAAUUUUUAUGUUGGGAAAACAGGUGUUACAUGGUUUACCAAUGGACAAUAUUAAUUAUAAUUAGUGGAUAUGGCCAAAUCGGCCCAGUGGUAUAUUAAAUGAUUAUUUUACUUCGCUCAAACCGAAGUACCUAUAUGAUUCAAGUUUUGGUUUGACCUAAUUCAACUCAAACAAUAUACACUCAUAUACUUUACUAAAGUUUGUGUGCAUUUACAAUUUUGUAAAGUUGUGUAGUCCCUUGCCCCCAAUUUGUUCAAUCCCAAAUUUGUGAUGUAGUUUAUUGAAAGGCUGACUCAAUGGUAUAACUUCUACUUUUAAUGUUUGUCCUUUAUUAAACCACAUCACAAUACCACGUCAUAAUUAUUUUAUCUAUCAAACAUCAUACAAGUUUUUUAUCUAUCAAACAUCAUACAAGUUUUAAAGUUGUUCUGUCAUACAAGUUUUAAAGUUGUCCUAAUGUACUUUACUAGAUUAAACCCACGUUAGACUAUUUUGUAAUGUGAAUAUGUGAUCAGAUUUUUAAGGGGUGGGUGUGAAUAGAAAAAAAAUCUUAAAACAUUGUUUUUGAAAAUGAGAUAACCUAGUUCAUUUCCGUCUCUCUCCUCUCCCUCGCGAUACAACACUGUUCCACUCUGUCGUGCGACUCCUCCCGCCACCGCUUCCCCCUCGAGCAACGCCCACGCCGUCACAGGUAUUCUCUCUCUCUCUCUCUCUCUCUCUCUCUCUCUUGCCAUGAACUUGUUUUCUUCAAUGUACUCAGUUACUUCAUUCUCCGGUCCGGUUUUGAAAACACUGAGCUCAAUCAAGAUAGUGAAUGGUAUUUGUACUUUGUAGUGUCUCUUCUCACAUAUAAUAAGCUAUUUUGUUAUUAACUAGUAACAUACCCGUGCUAACGCACGGGUACAGUAACCGUUUGUUGUUUAAAACAGUCUAAUUUUUCUUUUUAAUGGUUGUUAUAUAUUGUUAUUUAAAAAUUUGAUCUAAUAUUUUUUUUUAGGUUUUGAAAAUGUUAAUAUAACUUCUUUANNNNNNNNNNNNNNNNNNNNNNNNNNNNNNNNNNNNNNNNNNNNNNNNNNNNNNNNNNNNNNNNNNNNNNNNNNNNNNNNNNNNNNNNNNNNNNNNNNNNAUAUAGUUCUCCUCCUAAUAACUAUAUAUAUUCUCGUAGAAUAUAUCAACAAGAAUAAGAUAUGCUUAUAAACUUUAAUUAAUAAUAUAUUUACAAUGUUGAGUUCAUGCGAAUUGAUGCACUAUCAUGAAAAACUAUAUUCUUAUGUCCACCGAAUGCUUAUAAUUCUUUCCAUUUUUGUAUUUUUUUUGUGGUGUUACUUUCAUUUUUUAAUUAACAAUAUUAUAAGUGAAAGAAAAGAAUGAAGAGCAACACUAACGACAUGUGAAGUCCCGAUACUUCAAAAUGGAUGACGUAUUGUAUUCCCUGCAUAUCCUGCACCGAUACCUGGUUGAUACUUCCCGAUACGUAUCAGGAGAGUAUCCGAAGAUUAAAGUUUAUUUUUAAAAAAAAUAGUUAUCUGAUACUUCUCAAUACAUAUCAGGAGAGUAUCCGAUAAUUAUCUUGCACUGAUAUCUGCCCUGAUACUUCACAAUUAAUGUUAACGAAAAUAACUUAACUGAUGUGUUAUUUUUUGGAUAUAGUGUUUUUUUUUAUCGAUAUAGUAUAACACUAACAAUGUUUCUUUUGGAUAUAGUAUAACACUGAUGGGGCUCUUUUUGUGAUAUAUUGUGUAUGUAAUUGACUAAUCAUCACUCUCUUGAUCGUCAAUAUUAUUUAUAUUUAUGUUGAUGUGAUACGAGCCUAUGACCGGUUUCUUUUGUUUGUUAAAAAAUGGUUAUAAUUAUAUUGUACAUUUAAUUAUAUAAUUUUUUUUAUUAAUGUAUCCCAACCGUAUCGAAUCUUGAUUUUUAAAAAUUUUCCGUAUCGGUGCAGUAUUGUAUCUCGAAUCCGGGCUUCACAACAUCAUCUAAUUUUUUCUACCCUCCCCCUGUUUACCGGUUGUACAUGUUCCCUGCAUUUUUUUUAUAUAUUUUUGUUUUACUUUAAUGUGUUUCAAAUUCAUCAUCGUCCCCUUCGUUGCACAAUCUUUUAUACUGCUCUCUUGAAGACUUAAACUUUUAAAAGUGUUGAUUUGUUUGACCUUUGAAACUUUGUAGUGGUUUUGAAUGUAUACUAGGCUUAUUAAUUGAAAUCCACAAUUGUUUGUGGUGGUGGUAAAUAAUUGAUAACAGAUUCAAUUUUUCUACAAUUUCUCAUGCACCAUUUGGUUUCGUCCCCACAAGUUAUUUUUUUAACAACCAUUGUUUUUCCUGGGUGAAUGUCAAUGGGUAAAAAAUUAUAAUAUGUCAGUCAGAUUGACGGAAAUGGCAAUUCCAUCUAAAUUGACAAUACAUAUUGAUUCACUUCAUGGAAGAAAAAAUAUAUUUUUAACCAUUGUGUCUACUUGUUUUAUCUAUUUUAUAAACAAAUCCAAGAAGUUUUUUGAAGGUUUUGUUGUUGAGGUAGUAAGAAUUGAAGAGAGAGAAGAACCCUUUAGGGCUUUUGGCUUUUGCAGAUUGUGGUUGUUAUGCUUUUGUCAAACAGAACCGGUAACUGGUAAAUCAUUUUAAAAUAUUAGUGAUGAAAAAAGAACCCUCUAAGGCUUUUGGCUUUUGGAGAGAGGAACAUUGUUAUGCUUUUGUCAAACUGUACCAAGUAACUGGCAAAUCAUUUUAAAAUAUUGGUGACGUGGACCAAUGAGUGAGAGUGUGUGACAAAAAGAGUGUGAUAGAGAGUUUGUCCUUAGCAUUUCUCAAGAAUGAAUGGUUCCCUAAAAAAAAUUAAAAAAUUGGAAGAAUGAAAACAAAAGAAGGUGCAAGCGAAUUGAUCAAAACGAAACCGUAGAACUAUUUGGAUUUUUGAACUUGGGAUUGAGAACACUUGCUCGAGAAGAAUGUUAAUUUUCAGCUAAGAUUUCAAGAAUAUUAUCUAUCAUAAUUGAUGAAACAAGAAUAUUCAUAUUUUUUUGUUAAUAAAAAUGCUUGUAUUUCACUAUGCAACAAUGAUAGUUGGACAUCCCAAAUAUGUAAACGGAAAACGAUUUGUUAUUCAUUCAAGUUGGAAAUACAAUAGUUGGAUACCUAUUUAUAGCAAAAGUAUCCAAUAGUUGAACUUCACUCAAGUGAUCCAAAAUUCUUCUUAGCCAAAUUCCUUGACAAGAGCAUGACGCUGCUGCAACAUCCUCAGCUUCAAUGGUGGAAGGAGUAACUAUAGGCUGCUUUUUUGAUGACCAAGAUAUUGCACCAUCUCCAAUCAUAAACACAUAGCCAGAAGUGUUUUCCUGUCAUCAAUAUCACUUGCAUAGUCUGAAUCUGACCAGCCAUUUAAUCUUACUUUUUCUCCUUUCUAAUACAUGACUCCAUAGUUAACAAUUCCUUUUAAGUACCUUAGAAUUAUUUUGAAAGCUGAUAGGUGCAUUUCAGCAGGUCUUUUCAUGUAUCUAGCAACCAAACACACUGAAUAUGCAAGAUCAAGUCUGGUGGCAAGCAAGUACAUCAAGCAUCCAACCAUCUAUUUAUACUCGCAUGCAGUCAAAUAUUGUCACAUACUAGGGUUAGAUCAAAAUCAGAGGAUCAUAGAUUGUCUUUGAAGCCAGGAAAGAAGUAAAUCAAGCAAAGACCAAUAAGGUUUGCACAUGCAGUCAUCACAAAGAUUAAAGCAUAAAUUGAAUGAUUGAUCAAAGACAAAUUCAUUCGAACUGCAUGGUAUACAUUGAUGAAAUCAGUCGAAAGAUAUCAACUUCCAAUUAUCUUUAAAUUAAAAUGUUAAUUUCAAAUUUUAUUUAAUAAUUAACAUUUUAGGCCAUCUAUUACACCGAAAAUUCUAAUUACAUUUCAAAAAAGAUAAUAAGCCAAAGUUAAGUGGCACAAUUAAUUUGGCUUUAUGAAUAUGCUCAAGUCUUGUAGUCGAAACCAAGUCAUUUUUACUACAUCCACAAUAAUUCAAAAUAGGUUGUAUCACAAACGAAUCAUAACUCAAAGAAGACUUUCGUUGAAAAUUUUAUAAAUGCAAUUCGAAGAAAGCUACCCUUGAAGAUAGCAUGCAUAUUAGAAGCGUUCCAAAUCAUCAAAAAAUAACUACCAUGUAAAGAGUGCAAGAGAAUUUCAAAUUGGUUUCAUUUGAGAAGUUAUCAACAUUCAAGAUUCAAAAGAUUGGAAGGAGCUUGUCAAAGAAGUUUUUAGGUGGUUUAUGACACUUGUCAUCAAUGCAAUAUAUUAGUUAGUUUUUUGGUUACACUUGAGAAAUUACCCACGCAAGUUACAGUGCUUGGUUUUUUUAGUCUGUUUUAGGUGGUGAUGUGUUUUGGUGGGUUUAUCUCCAGGGGUGUUUUUAGGUGGUUAUGGUGUACAGUCUAUAUGCGGCACCAUUUGUAUCUUGUUUCGUCAAUACCUUGCGUCUUGUGUAACACCCCGUUACCCAAAAGUAAUUAAAUAAUAAUUAAUUCAACAUCAGAGUUCAACCCAAACGGGCAUGUCACACUACUAUAUCAAAAUUUCUUAAAUAGAAUAUAAAUAUUCAUUUAUUAAACAUCCAAUGAAAUCAUCAUUUAAACAGCACCAGAAUAUUAUUCAUCAAACAUCAACAACUAUUUUAAAACUCCAAACAAUAUCUUGGCAUAAAGCCUCAACAACAUAAUCAACCAACAUAGGGCCAUAACAUCAAGUUCCAAAAAUUGAUACAUAGGAAAGAAAACAAUAAUAGUAAUAAUUCCCAUCCCACGUAUCAGAGCCCUAGACACGACACUUGAGCCACCACCGACUACUCAGGAUCACCUGCAAGUUACUCAUAGGAAGGGCAACAUUUCCAAGCAGAAGGGGUGAGAUUCACAACAAUAAAAUAUAGAUAUUAAAAUCUUCAAUUGAAUCUAACAUCCUAUAAACAUCAAUUUAUCAUCUUGCAAAUAUAAAUAUAUAAUUCACAAGCAACAACAUCAUCUCAUCAAAUCAAUCCAUCAUAAUAUGUAUAUAAAUAUAUAUAGAUCCAUCAACAACAUCAUCAUCAUUAAUAUGACAACUACAACCAACGACCAAGACUCAUGCAGGACAUGACGACACCACUAAGACUCCUCAAAUAUGCAAUUAUGCAUGUGGUACCAAACAUGACCGAAGCCCUCACCGUUGUGAACAACUAGUGCUCCAGGACAUGAGUCCUCUCCGCUGUUUAUGCAUAUGCAAUGGACCUACUUGUGUAUAUCUACAUACAACUUGACCAUGCAUACAUACUCCAUAUGACUCCACUUAUACAACAUGUAUGAUUCAAUAAUUUUAGCAUACAUUACAGUCAUCAGCAACAACAUCAAUUAGAGAUCCAACAAUCCAGAAUAAUGCACAAUUAAAUAUAACUAUGCUCAAAACAACAACAACAAUUCAUCACCAUACGCACAACAACAAUCAGCAUGCAGCAUUUAGGAACUCGCCUUGCGAGCACAUCUGCUCGCUAUGGCGAGCUCACAAAACAGGCUACUCGCCAUGGCGAGUUCAAGGCGAACUCGAGGCGAGUGAAAAUAAGGUACUCUCGGGUGUUUUGACAUUUUCUCACUCAAACCUCAAUUCUAAGCUCCCUAUUCAUCUUUUUAACCUAAAACUUGUUCCAGUCAUCAUUAAAAUCGUUUAGGCACAUUAAACUAUCACCAAAACAUCUUAUAACAACAAUUUGAAAAUCUAGAAUUUCAUUCACUAACUCGCCAUGGCGAGUGGUUCUGCUCGCGAGGCGAGACAUGAUGUUGCUCACUCGCGAGGCGAAGCAUGAAUGCUCGCGAGGCGAGCGAUGAACAUCAGUACGGCCAGAAUUCAGGUUUUUCCCAAAAAUCCCAUUUUCCUUCCAUUCACUCCCCAAAUCAGUUUACAGAUGUAAAACUAAGUACUGUCUACAACCAGAACCUAAUUCUAACAUCAGAACAACAAUCUCCAUCCUAAAAUCAUCAUUUUCUCACAAAAGCCCAUAAAUCCCAAUUCUCACCAAAACUCUGUUAAACACAAAAUUAGAAUUAAUAACUAUACUACUGAAGCAAACCUCACCCUUACCUUAGAAAUUGCAGAAGAAAUGCACAGCAAUUGAUUAUCCUGACUCUACUUGCUCUUCUCUCCUUUUCUCCCAACUGACAGUUUUUCACGUACAAGCUUCUGACAUCUAUUUUUCCUAACUUCCCAUUACUUAACUCCAUUUAUUUUCAUUUAACUCCCUUUAAUUCUAAUAACUUCUAAUAACUCCUCAAACACCAAAUUAAUUAAUAUUUACCACCUAAUCACAUUAAUAUUAAAAUCAACCAUAUAAUAAAAUAUAUCACACCACAUAAAUCACCAAUAUUAAUUAAAAUCACAUAUAAGACUCUAAUUAAAUCAAAAUAAUUAAAUAUAUCGACUAGGCCGUUACAUCUUGCGGCACUACAAGAAAUAUUGGAUUUUUCUAGGGAAAUAUUCCUCGGAAAACACACUUUUUUCGUAGGAAAACACGGAUUUCCGAGAAAUUACCGAGGAAACAAGUUGUAGGAAAUUUUAGAUCUAUUCCUACGAGAUUUCCGAGGAACUUCCGAAGAAAUACUUUUUCCGACAGAAUUACCGAGGAAAGUUUGGUAGGAAAGCAUUGUGCAGUCUGCCACCUCUCACACACGCUUUCCGACGAAAAUUUUGUAGGAAACAAUAAUAAUUAAAAAUUGCAGACUGCCACACGCUUUCCUACGAAACUUUCCUAGGAAACAAUUAUAUUUAAAAAAUAGAAAUUAGAUCCAAAUUUUGAUUUUGAAAAAGGCGCCAAAUAAUUCAAAUGAGGUGCCAAAAUAUUUGGCGCCAAAAUUUCAUAAAAAAUCAAAUUUUAAAAAAAAACGAAAAUAAAAAAAGUGCGCCAAAAUUUGAAAAUAACCCAAAUUUUUUGAUAAUUUGUUUCCUACAAAACAUGUCAUGUUGAUAAAUAUUUACAUAAAACAAAAUUCAUAAAUACAAGUUAAAUUUUCUUUGACAAUAACCACGUAAAACACCCCAAAAGUGCCCAAAAUCAGUCCCUAACCAAAAAACAGCAAGUGAAACUUGCUAAAAACAACAUUGAAAUACACAACAUGUGUUCGGUCAUCAUGUGUUCGGUCUUCUUGAACCGACGGUGAUGAUUGACUCGAUGGCGACGAUGAUUCCGAUGUUUUCCUACUCUUCAUGCCUCCCAUCCUUUUGAGCUUUCUCAUUUCCUCGGCCUGUUUGCCCAGCAAUUCCCUUAACUCAUUCUCCGAUUCUUCUUUCUUUGCCAAUGCCUCCUUUUGAGAUUGCAACUCCUGGUUCAUUCGUUGUAUCAUUGCUUGCAUCUCAAGAGGCAGCUCUCUAGAACGAGAUGAUGACUCUGGUGGAGGAGGAACAUAGAACAAAUCUCCAUGUACCACAUUGUCGGCUAACGGCCCAAGACCGUACAUUCUACCCUUUCUUCCUUUUCCUCCAUCCGGUCUUCCUUUUUCUACAGCCUUUGCCCAUAAUUGAAGUUUAAUGGGGAAGGGAAUUUCUGGAUAUGAUGGAAUCUCAAGAUUCUCCUCCAAAAACUAUGCUGCUUUCGUGCGAUAAGCUGCCUAUAAAGUAAAGGAAUAUAUAAUAAAGUCAAAACCGAAAAGAAAAAAAAAAACAAACACACAUCAGCAACAAGCUAUCAACACCAAAAUAGAAAAGUCACAUACAGAAAAUGGAUCACCUAAAAAAAAAACACUCCCUAACCAAUGUCAGUAACAAAAUAGCAUGCCAAAGGCUCCAAUCCAAAAAGUAAAUCAAAGAAAAACAUUCCAAAAAUCUAAGAUAAAGAGACCUACAUAUACAAUAAAGCAGCCAACCUAAAAAAUCUGCUAACGCACGCCUCUCUAUCAGCCCAAGCCUUUGAAACCAAACCACCGAACAAACACCACCUGAUAGAACAUCAAGGACAAGAACAACAGGAAAAAAAGUUGUGCAAAAAGUCCAACAGCACCCUGUGCCAAACAGGUUGGAGCAAACCUAACAACCAAAAAUGCUAGAAUAGAACCAUAGAUGCAGCCACCACAACCACAAAAAGAACAACAAUAUUUCUAUCCAUAUAUUUUCCAGCAAUACAAGCUCCUACUAAGAUAUUCUCAAAAACUAAAAGCCUCACACUCAUGAUAUCUAUAUAACACUCUGAGCCUUCUUCGGCUACACUCCAAUCUGACGCGGCAGCUAAAAGCCUCACACUCAUUGAUAACUUAGAAUCAGACGACCCUUCAAACAACGGCUUGUUUACUUCUUGCAUCAUCUUGUAAAACUUCAAUGCUUUCUCAUUCGGGAUUGUUUCCUCUUCACCACCCUCGUUGUAAGAGAGGUUCACCCCAAGUGAAUCACCGAUAAUAUCUUCCAUCACGCCAAAGUUUUCACACUCCAUACGCGCCUCACUGCUUGAAGCGUGCAUAUUAACAUCAUACUCGGUAUUAUUUGUCGGCUCUUGUUCAUCGUGAUAAAUCCACACAUAAUAAUUCUCCAUAAAACCAAGGUCCUUUAAAUGGUUUAGAACAUCUUUUGGGCUCCGAAUCAACCUACACGUACAUUUAACACACGGACAUCUUAUCCCUCCCUCUAAUUGAAAGGCAUCUUGCGCCUUGGCGUAAGCAACAAAAUCACGAACUCCAUCCACAAAAGCCGCCUUAAGUUUCCUUUUCCCCGGAUAUUUUCUAUCAUACAUCCAACUACGAUGGAAAAUAUGUUGAUCCAUUUUUCGCGUCGCUGCAGUUGACUCAAAUUAGUACCAUAUAUUUUUAUACGUAAAUAUUUUUUAAUAUAAAUAACAAUUUUUUUCUAAUCACCUAAAUAUUUAGAAAUUUGUACAAAAUAAACAUGUUAUCGCAUAAAAAUUAUAUAAUAUUUUAUAUUUUAUGACUAAAAUAUAUAACAUUUUCUAAUCUAUAUCACAUUUUCUAAAAUUUGUAUGAAAUAAACAUUGCGUGUAUAUACAAAUUACGAACCACAAAUGUUAAGCGCGGAUGCCACAAUUGAUUCCCACAAAAUAAUUCACAUAUGUCAUAUUAAUUAACUUCAUAACUUUUUUGCUAAUUUACAUUAUUUUUCUAACAAACUUAAUUAUACAUAUUUCUUUACUAAACUUUUUUUUUUAAAGAACUACGGUAACAUUUUUACUAGCUACAUUUAUUUUACGUAAAACAAAUUUGAUCUAAAUAACAUAUUUACUACAAUUUAAUUUUACUAACUAUAUGUUUCUUAUAUCUAAUAUUUUUUUAAUACUAAUCCAUUGAAUAAAUUUUAAAUAAAUAAAAGAUACUAACCUCAAAUAACAAGCCAAUGAACAAGUGGAUCCAAAAAAAAAAAGCAACAACCAGCCAGCAGCAACACCAACUUUAAAAUGGAUCAAAAACAAGGAAACUACAAAAAAUAAUGCAACAUAUUUUAAUAACUAAAUUAACAAUAUAUAUAAAUACACACAUUUUUAAAAGUAAACAUUUUUAACUAAACUACAAGUUUUUCUACAAGCUAACACUUUUUUUAUUAUACUCUCUCUAACAUUAAUAAGUUGAAAUUUAAUUUAAUCCCACUAAAUAUUUUUUUAAAGAAGUUAAUCCAACUAACAUUUUUUUUUUUAGAAAAAUCCCGCUAACGUUUUUAUUAAUUAUACUAUAAUAAUUUUAGUAACUAUUUUUAUAAUAAUUAAUAUUUAGUACUAAUACCAUUGUAAUAAUUAUUUAAAAUAAGUUAGAAACGUACCAACCUCAAAUAAUAAGUCGACGAACUAAGCGAAGACAACAAAAUCAACGGCAACGAACAACAACACCAACCUCAAAAUGGAUCAGAACCAAACAUAACUAUAAAAAAGAAUGUAACUUAUUUUAAUAUAUAACUACAUUAAAUAUUUAUAAAUUCAAACACAUGUAAAAUUGAAAUCAAUUAUAAGAAAAUAUCAAUAAUUACCUUUGUUAGAAACUUCAAUAAUGAUAAUAAAAUGAUGGAGAAUAAAAUUUGAGUGAUAUUAAAAAAAUUUGAAUGAGAUAUAAUGAUAAUAAAAUGAUGGAGAAUAAAAUUUGAGUGAUAUUAAAAAAAUUUGAAUGAGAAUAGAAUGAAGAUUGUAAAGAAGAAAAUAGAGUGUUGUAUAUUUAUAGACACAGAUGCUGCAACGGUAACAAACGGCUAGUUAGCAUGUGGGUCCCGUGUUUUCCGACGAAAUUUUCUUAGGUAAUUUCCACCAAUCACAACCAUACACACACGCUUUAUCCAACGGUUGUGUGCAUGCGGGGCCGCAGCUUUCCUAGGAAAAUAUUCCUCGGUAAAGGAGCCCAAUCACAUGCUUCCACACACCCUUUUUCUGCAAGUGGGGCCGCCGCUUUCCUAGGAAAUUAUUCCUCGGUAAAGUCAGUCAUUCACAAGCUGCCACGUGCUCCACUUUUCUGUUCAUAAUGUUGUUUUCCGACGAAAAUUUCGUCGCAAAUUCGUAGGAAAACGGUUUCUAGGAAAUUUCGUCGGAAAGUUUUGUAGGAAAAUCCACCAUUUCUUGUAGUGCGGAGAUGGCGUUUAACAAUAUUUGCCGAUUCAAAAAAAAAAUUCAUAACUCUCAACUUCUCAAGAACAAUUAUGUAAGGAAGAUAUUGAAGAUAGGGAGUUAGAGAUAAGAAAAAAGAUUACAAAGAAAGUGACCAGUCCUUUAGAGGACAUUUGUCAUACAUGCAACGUAAUAGUUAGUUUAUUUUUAUUCUAUAAAUUGUAAACUCAAACUCCAUGCAAAUGAGUUCGUUUCUAUUCGACAAAACUAUGCCUACUAGAAACACAUCUAUCCCCACAUAACAAUGUUCUUACCGGAAAUAUUGAAAGAAUGACGUAUAAAACUCUUAUAUAAUAUAUACAUAUAUUUUCAGUUUCCCACACUAGCAUGUACUUUUUCUUUAUCUUUUUUCCUUUUAUAUAUUUAAAAACCUAGAUAUUUUUUCCUUUUAUAUAUUUAAAAACCUACAUGUUUCUUCGAUUCACAACUUUAGGUUUGUUACACGUAAAUCUAUCUAGUACGAACCGUUCAUAAGGAUUUAAAUUGAAUAUUAGAUUACUUGUUGAGUUCAACUGUUGUCAAGAAAACCUUUUGAACCAACAAUUAUAUAUCGGGUGGAGGGGAAGAAAUGGCUUGGAACAUAUUUCCAACAUCAUCCCAAAAAAUAAGCAUAUGAGCAUUUUCGAAUAUCCGAAGUAACUUCAUAGUUCCUCACAUCAAGCAACUCGUUUUACUUAGAAAGACGCCUCCUCCUAUCUCAGAAUUCAAUACACCGACGUGUAACAUGUAACGCCCUAAUUAUUUAUUUAAUUAUUUUAUUAUGUGGAGUAUAUAUAUAUAUUAUUAUAUAUGAUGUUUGAUGAUUUAUGCGGAGUAUAUAUAUGCAUAUAUUUGUAUAUAUGUGAUUUUUGGAUGUUUUAUGUGAUGUAUUAUUUUAUUAUAUGGUUUAUUUAAUAAUAAUUAAAAUAAGUAUGAAAUAGUAAUUAUUUUGAGGUUUGGGAAAAUAUUAGGAGUUAUUAGAAAUUAUGGGGAGUUAAGUGUAAUUAGGAGGGAGUUACUUUUAAGAGGGAAGUUAUCAGAGAAGUUAGAAUUAGUUUUACGUAGAAGCAGUUUUUGGGAGAAAGCAAGAGAGAACCAAAGAGGAACCAAGAGUGGACUUUUGCUGCACAUUUCUUCUGCAAUUUUAAGGUAAGGGUGGGAUUUACUUCAAGAAUGUAGUUAUUGAAUUCUGAUUUUGUGUUUAACAGAGUUUUGGUGAGAAUUUGGGAAAAUUGGGUUUUUAUGAUAAAAUGAUGAUUUUGAAGUUGUAAGCAUGAUUUUGGGGUUAGAAUUAGUUUCUGGUUGCAUAGAACACUUAAUUAUGUAUCUGUAAGCUGAUUUGGGGAGUGAUUGGAAGAAAAAUGGGAUUUUUGGGUAAAACCAGUUUUCUGCCCGUACAGAAGUUCAUCGCUCGCCUCGCGAGUAGCUGUGCUCGCCAUGGCGAGUGAGCAACUUCAUAGCUCGCCUCGCGAGCAGUCCAACUCGCCAUGGCAAGUAGCCCAGAUUAAAACUUGAUUUUGAAAAGUUGUUAUAAGAUGUUUUGGGGAUGGUUUAAGGUACCUAGAUGAUUUUAAUGAUGAAUGGUGAAAGUUUUAGGUUAAAAAGAUGAAUAGGGAGCUUAGAAUUGGAGUUUGAGUGAGAAAAUGUCACUUUUUCCCGAGAGUACCUGAUUUCCACUCGCCUCGAGUUCGCCUUGAACUCGCCAUGGCGAGCUAGUGUUUUUGGUGAACUCGCCAUGGCGAGCAGAUGUGCUCGCGAGGCGAGCUAGUGCAGUUUUGCUUGCUUGAUUGAUAAGGUUUAAGUGUUGUUGUUUAAGCAUAAUUUUAUUUAAUUGUGCAUCAUUCUGAAUGGUUGAAUCUCUGUUGGAUGUUGAUUGUUGAUGAGGAAUGCAUUGUAUGUUUUAAUUAUUGAUCAUACAUGUUGUAUUAAUUGGAGUCACAUGGAGUUGCAUUGCAUGGUCAGUUGUAUGUAGAUAUACACAAGUAGGUCCAUUGCAUAUGCAUAAAACAGCGGUGAGGGCUUCGGUCCUGGAGUACUAGUUGCUCAACAGCGGUGAGGGCUUCGGUCCUGAUGAAUGCUUUAACCAUUCAAAAGCGGUGAGGGCUCCGGUCCUGAUUGGUACCACAUGCAUAAUUGCAUUUCAUUAAGAAGUCUAAGAUGGUGUCUUAGCAGUGGUCAUGUCAUUUGCAUGAGUCUUGGUUGUUGAUUUCAGUUGUUAUCUGAUAGAUGAUGUUGGUGUUGAAUAUGUGUUAUAAAUUUAUAUUCACUGUAAUUAUGGUGUAUUGUUGAUGUUGUUGUUGCUUGUGACUUAUACAUAUAUAUGUUUACAAGAUAAUGUGUUGUUGGUUAGGGUGUUAGAUUCAAUUGAUGAUUUUAAUAUCUAUAUUUAUUGUUGUGAAUCUCACCCCUUCUGCUUGAAAAUGUUGCCCUUCCUAUGGGUAACUUGCAGGUGAUCCUGAGUAGUAGGUGGUGGCUCAAAGUCGUGUCUAGGGCUCUGAUAUGUGGGAUGGGAUUUAUCAUUUUUGUUAUUGUUGCUUUUCCUUUCCAUGUAUCAAAUUUUGGAACUUAUGGUGUGGAGCCUUUUGUUGUCUUUGAACUAUGAUGUUGAAUUAUGUUAAGGCCUUUAAUGCCUUAGACUAUUGUUGGUUGUUCAGGAGAUUAUGGAUUUUGAAAACUAUUCCGCUGCUAUGUUUUCAUAUAUAUAAGUUGAUUUGAUUAAAUAGUUUUAUUUUCUAUUUAAGAAAUUUUGAAAUGACGUGUAGCAUGCCCGUUGUGGGAUUACUCUGAUGAUUACAUACUAUUUUAUUGCUUUUGGGUAACGGGGUGUUACAUAACACACACACACACACACACACACACAUAUAUAUAUAUAUAUAUAUAUAUAUAUAUAUAUAUAUAUAUAUAUAUAUAUAUAUGUCCACACUCACGUAUGAUCGCUCAUGAUAGUUUAAUAUGCAUACAUCAUAUCUUAUUUUUACACAAGAGUUUCUUUGAAGUUACACUUUCAUCCUCCCUACUUGGCGAAAGAGCAUACAAAAAGAAGGCGUGUAGAUCUGUUAUAAAAGUGACUCAAAAUUGGUUUUCUGGAAGUGCAAAAUCGGGGCCCGAACAGGAUGGCUCGGUGGCCGAUUUUGACUAGUUUUUUCAGCAUUCUGCUUCGUGAAUUUUCGGGGCCCGAAUCACUACUAGAAAAAGCAAAAUUAGCGAGGGAAAUUAGUGACGGAAAAAAUGAAAUUCCUCACAAAUUCCUUAGUCACAAAAUUUAGUGACGGAAUUAGAGAGGGAUUUCAUGUUUUCCCUCAGUAAAUAUCCCUCACUAAUUUUUGUUUUUUUAGUAGUGAAUGGAUGUGUUCGGCGACCAAUUUCUCGCAGGAGCAUAAAAUUGUAAUGUAUUUUUAUGGGCCAGAUUUGUUCCAAUUUUAUGGGAGAUACUUUUACAAUAAAUAUUGACAUUGUAUCAAUGUAAACCUUGAGAUAGAGGGGGCUGAAACAAGGGUUUAGAAGGCAACAACAAAACUAGGGUUUGUAUAGAGUUUGUCUCUUGGCAACAAACACUAGGGUUUGAGGGUUGAUUCACCUUGGGAAACACUAUUAGGAUUGAGUCUCUUGGUUACGGGAAGAGAUUGGGACUUUGGGUAGAAUUAGGCGGGAGAGUUAUUCUUGUAACUCAUUGAUAUCUCUAUUGUAAAGUUACUCAUCAUAUAGUGAAACGGAGGGUUGCUCUCUCCCCAGACUAAGUCAAUUUGGACCGAACUGGGUCAAAAAAUUCUUUUGUGCUCUCUCUCUCUCUCUCUCUCUCUCUCUCUCUCUCUCUCUCUCUCUCUCUCUCUCUCUCUCUCUCUCUCUCUCUCUCUCUCUCUCUCGUUGUUUUCUACUUUUGGCUUGUGUUUAUAAUUGUUCCAACACUUUGUUUUAGUUUCUAAUUAUCACUUGCUCCACACAUCAAGUUUUUUAUUGGUGUGAUUUUUCAACAAAUUCACAACAAGAUCACUAAUAUCAAGACAUAAAGUCUGCAUCACCAACUCUCGUGAUUCAACCAUAUUCUCUUACAAAAUCAACUAUGUUACAAUGUACUACCUCCGUACCUUUUUAAGUGUUAUUUUUUGACAUUUUACACAAAUCAAGACAAUCAAUAAAUGUUACUACUUUUGAUACAAUUGUUUUUACUUUUACUAUAAUGGCCUUAUUAAUUUAAUAUUUCAUUUUAUAUGUUUCUCUCUCCGCAAUAAAUAUCUAAGGGCAAUAUUGGUAAAACAACAUUUAAUAUUGCAUGGAACUUUGAAAGUGACAAUUAAUUGGUGAGGACUACGUUACCCUCUCUUGUUUAGAGGGUAAUUUACCCUCUCAUGAUAUCAACCAAUCAAAAUGUAAUAUACAUAGGUAACAUUAAAUGUCAAACAAAUGAGUAGAUUUUUUCGAAAAAUAAAAGAGUUAAUCUUAAUUUUUAUUUUUAUUUUUUGAAGGAGAGUUAAUCUUAAUCAUAAGAUAACUUUUAAUACUUUUAAUUUUUAGGCAAAAUAGCACAAUUAGUCCCUUAACUUUAUUUUAGGUAACACUUUCGUCCUUUAUCUUUUUUUUUGUCACGAUUUAGUCCUUUAUGUUAUAAAAUUACAAUAUCUUAUCAUUUUUUAUGAGAUUUUUUUUAAAGAAAUUUGAUUUUCUAUGCUUGUUUGAUGAAGAUUUACGUUUGCCUAUGAGUAUGAUGAUUUUUUUUUUUGGAGUUUUUGAUUUUUUUUUUCAUGAAAAAGGAUAACUAUCUUGUUAUUUUAUAACAUAAAUGACUAAAUCGUGACAAAAAAAAGAUAAAGGACGAAAGUGUUACCUAAAAUAAAGUUAAGGGACUAAUUGUGUAAUUUUGCCUAAUUUUUAUUUAAUUUUUUUUUAAACAACAAAUGAUUUAAUUUUUUUAUUUUAUAUUAAGGUGUUCAAUCUUAAUUAAUUUACACUACAAGACUUAUGACAAAUAAAAUUUUACAUCAAAUUUAUUUCAUCUAGAUAUCCUUAAAUUCAUCAUUUACAUUCAUAAAAUUUCUUCCAUUCAAGAACCCCGAACGUGAGAAUAAAAACAUCUCAUUCUUUCAAAUUUCUUCUUCUUUAUUCUUCCAUAUUGAUCAAUUUUUGUUUCUUUUUCAUUCUUCUUCCCAUUUUGAUUGUUCAAUUUUGUCGUUCCAAAUUGCCGCAAUUUCCAAUUAUCGUGGGAAUUGUCGUUGUUUCUAGAACCGCGUCAGGUAUCGUGACUAAUUUUUUUUAUUUAAGCAGCUAAUCUAAUAAAAUCUGUUAACACACAUAGACCUGUCUCACUAUCAGCAAAAGCCUUUAUGUCCAAAUAAAAGAACAAAAGCCUCAUCACAUAACCAUUUCAGCAGCAACAAAAAAAAUGCUAGCAAACUCCCACAACAUCACAGCGGCAACACCUGCUAGCAGCCCUCAAAGUACAACGGAUGAUUUACUCAAUUGUUAUAAUUAACUAUCUCACAACCAAUAAAAAUCAAAUCAAAAAGAAAAAUCAAGUCAUCAUACCUGACGUUGUACCGGAAAUAACGACAAUUCUAACGAUAUUUGAAAUCAUGACGAUUUUCACGAAAAUUGAAAAAUGCGAUAGUUGGGAACGACAAAAUUGAACAAUCAAAAUGGGGGGAAUAAAUUUUAUGAAUAUAACUGAUAAAUUUAAGGACAUUCAGAUGAAAGAAAUUUGAUAUGAAAUUUUAAUUGUUCUAAGCCAGUCAUGUAGUGUAAAUUAAUUAAGAUUGAACACCUAAAUAUAAUUAAGGCAAUAUUACAUUAUGGGUCUUGAUCUUAUUUAUUUGUAACACUUUAGUCCUUUGUCUUUAUUUUUUUCCGUUUAGAUCAUUUAUCUCUCUUAAAAGCACAUAUACAUCUUUUUUCGCAUUUUUUUUAUUAAAAAAUACAUAAUUUUAUUUUUAAAAUAUAUUUUUAUUAAAACUGAAAAAAUAUUCAAAAAUAUGAUGAAGAUGUUCAUCAUCUUCAUCUUCUUCCUUUGAAUCUUCAUCAUCAUCUUUUUUGUCUAAAAUAUACCUCUAAAAAAAAAAUCUUCCUUUGAAAUUUCUAGAACGUCUGUAACGAAGAAUGGAAUGGUUUCGUGUAAGGGUUUUGCAUUUUUGUAAGAAGAUGCAAAAGUUGAACUGCUUCAAAAGAAAAAGAGUUUUAUUCAUUUCAAAUGUGCUUAACACACUAACUUUUAAAUCCACUCCAGAAAAAACUCUAACCUGUAAAUUUAUCAAAGGAAGUGUCCAUUUAAUUUUAUAAAAUGUGCUUAACACACUAAAUUUUUUAUUUUAUUUUUGAACCGGUCCAUUUAAUUAUUUUUUUGAAGGAGUGUCCAUUUAAUUUUAUUAUAUUUUUUUUUUUUAAGGAAUUAUAUUAUCUUUUUAUCACUUAUAUAUUUAAUUUCAAUAUCAUUUAAUUAUCUCAAUUUCACUAAUAUUUUUAUUCACGCUGUCAUCAAAUGACACAAUAUUUUUAUUCCAAUUCUUCAACCUCGCAAAUAUAUACACACACAUUAGAGUUUAGAAUAAUACUUUAUGUUCGUCUGUCUAGUUAUUUGUUAUACUAAUCCGUAUAAUUUUUUUUAGUGUUGCGUAAUGUGUUCGUCUGCCUCAUUGAAAGAAUUGUGGAGCUGAAGAAUUUAUCUGUAAUAUGUAUAUGGUGUGUGUAUAUAUAAAUAGAAUAGUUGGUUUUUUCUUUUUCAAUUAUACUCUAUAACAAAUUUUGUUAUAAAAAUAUCAUAUUUUUGUGUCAUUCAAAAAGAUAAGAAUUCAUAUUAUAUGAUAUUAUAUUUGUUACAUUGUUGGUGUCAUUGAAAAAGAUAUGCAUAGUUUGUUACAAUAUAAAUGUACAAAAUAUAUAUAUAAGUAUAAUCUCUUUAGACAUCUAUACUUGUACUUUUAAUUAAAAUAUAAAUUUAAUAAAAAUAAUUAUAUGUAUUACACAACACUAAAAAAAAUUAUAUGCAUUAACGUAACAAAAAAAACAUACAGAUGGACAUAAAGUAUUACUCUAAUCUCUAAUAUGUGUGUAUAUAUUUUCGAGGUUGAAGAAAAAGAAUAAAAAUAUUUGGUGUCUUCAAUGACAACAUGAAUAAACAUAUUUGCUAGGUGGUAAUAAUUAAACGAUAUUGAAAUUAAAUAUAUAAGUGAUAAAAAUAUAAUAAAUUCUUUCAAAAAUAGAUAAUAAAAUUAAAUGGACCCUCCUUAAAAAAAUUAAAUGGACCAGUUCAAAAAAAAUUAAAUGAAAGAAAAAAAGAAAUUGAAAUAUAAAUAUUAAAAAAAAAAAAGUUCAAGCAUGAUUUGAAGAGAAGUGCUUGUGAAAUAAAUUGUCGAGAAGUAAGUUUUGUACAAUAUUUUGCCAAACAACUUUUAACUUAAAAGUAACUUUAAAACUAAAAAAAAUAACGAAACCAAACAGCUUUACCUUCUUUCUUAAAGGACUUUAUUUUAACUUUGUUGGAGCGUUUAGACCGUAAAAAAGCCUGGCCAAACUAUACCUUAACAUCAAAAUACAAAAAUUACGCACAAAAUCAUAAGUUUCCUAAAGUCUCUAAGUUUAAGUCAUCUAUAAAACCAUCCAAAAAAGCAAGUUUCACAAGUUCCUAAAAUUGUUAAUAAAACUAUCUAAAAAAUAAACUAGUUAAUUUCUUCAAAAGGUCAACAAACACCACCAUCGCAACCCUAACCGACAUAACAAUCACCGGCGUCGAAAUCUAAAUUUUCGCUUUCGGAAUCACAACCCUGAUUGGUAUGUGCUCCCAUGUUCAUGGUUUCAGAACUCAGAGAAGAAAGAAGAAAAAAACGUUUCAUUUCAGGAAGAACGUGUUAUUGUAAAGGUAACUACUCAAUAAAUAUUUCAGUCUUUUGGGCUCAUAGAAAAGGAACUGUGUUUUGAAAAAAAUGGACCCAAAAAAAAAGGCCAAUUUUUUUAUAUGUAUUUUUUAUAGAUGUAAACUUGUAAAACUCGGUCGAGUUUACACGAGUUCAUCGAGUGUUAACUCGGUCAAACUCGUCAAACCUACCGAUUUUAUCAGAAAUCGAAUUUAAAUCUGAGUUAACACGAUUUUGGUACAUAAACACGUAAAUUCGGAUAAUUGCUUAUAAGGACUCUUUGUUAUUGUUAAUAUAUUAUAUUUUGUUUGUUAAAACAAAACUUGAAAGUGAUUGAUAUUAUAUUAAAAAAAUUAGGAGAAUAUAAUAUUAAUUAAAUAAUACACUUCGAAACUAAUCAAUUUUGCGUAGCAAUUAUUAUGAAAUAGAGAGAGUAGUGUCUUAAGACCAUCCACAAUGAUGGGUGUUUCAUUUAUUUUUUAAUGAAAUAACUUAGCAUUUUAGAAAUGUAAUAAUAUAUUUAUUAGUGAGAUCUAUUAAUAAAUUAGCAUCGGUGCACGCUAUUUGGCUUGCUCGAAAUGAUGUCCGCUUCAAUGCAAGUUUUAUUUCUCUUCAUGCAACUAUGGCGAAGAUCACAACAAUGAUUGCCAUGUCGGGAGGCAGCUCCAAAGGAUACUGUUUACUGUCCGACAGGGUUAUCUUGGAAAAUUUGUUUGUUUCCCCCUUGCACAGACGGGUACGGGACAUCAUUCCGAUUGUGUGGCAGCCCCCUACCAUCCCUUGGGUCAAGGCCAACACAGAUGGGUCGGUUCAAAAUUUAAUGGCUGCUUGUGGUGGUGUCUUCCGCGACUCUAGCGGAACUUUUCUUGGUGGAUUCGCAAGCAAUCUUGGCAUAGUUUCUGUCUUCCAAGCAGAAAUCGUGGGCCUCAUUUUGUCUACGGAAUAUGCAAGUUCAAACAGCUGGACUCGUUUGUGGCUUGAAAGCGAUUCUUCUAGUGCGGUACAAGCUUUCCAUAAACCAUCUCUUAUUCUGGUUGGUCUUCGCAACCGUUGGCAUAAUUGUACUCACAAUGGUCUCUUUAUUAUUUGCUUCCACGUCUUCCGAGAAGGCAAUGUUUGCGCGGAUGGCCUCGCCGCUUUGGGACAUGAUGUCCUCGGGACCACGUGGUUCACCUUGCUGCCUCCAUCUUUGGGGCCGGACUUUACUAGGGAUCGAAAUGGGCUGCCUAACUAUAGAUUUCCUUAGAUUUUUCUGUUGCUUUUUUCUGUAUAUAUUUAUUUUCUUUCGAGGGUAUUGGCCUAGUCCCCCGCUCUUUGUAAUUUUUUUUCCAUUUUUUAAUCAAAUUUACGUAUUGGAAAGGCGGCAUAGGAAGGGGGUGGCUGUUGGGUGCCAACCUAGUUGGGAUGCUUCAGUUUCUCCCGGAUGCCUCACCUUUCUCUUGGCCUCAUCAAAAAAAAAAAUCUAUUAGUAAAUUUUGUUGUGGUGCUGUGUUAGAGAAAUUUAAUGUUUAUUAGAUAUUAACAUUAAAAAUAUAUAAAAUAAAUGACGUGUACAUGUGAGACCCACUUAAACGCUAAAAUAGGAGAGUUUCAUUGUGGAUGGUCUAACUCUUUACCUUUUACUAGACUCUUUGUCUUUUCUUAAUGAAAAUUAACCCUUUGCCUUCUUUAACACGGAAGAUUUGCUCUAUUAUUUAGUGUACAUAAUAUGCAAAAUCUAAACUCCCUAACUUGCUAGAAUACGGCGAAAAUAAACCAGCUAGAGUACGAAUUUGAUAGAUGUAUAGGAUUGGUUACUAUUUACCUAAAUUAAAAGAAAAUAACAUCUUCAAAACAAUAUCCUAUAAUUUUUUCUCUAUCUGUAUGGACGAAUUAAUCAACACACAAAAAUAAAAAAUAAAAAAUAAUCUAUGCAUGUAAGUGAUAGACAAUCAAUAUUACACUAUUACUCCCUUUAAUUAAGUGAUUGUUUUCAAGAGAUUAAUAAACUUUACUAAUGCCCGUUUGUUACGAAUUAAAAUAAAAGUGAUUUUGAUAUAAAAUAAUUUAAAGAUUAUAUGAAAAAUCACAUUAUAUUUUGUAUUUGUUUACUGUAAUAAAAAUCACUUUUUUUAAACAAAUAAUCUAGUUUGUUUGGAUACAACUAUAUAAAAGAAAUUUUUUGUUACAAAAUUAGUUCAACCUUUUAAAUUAUAUUUUCUCUCUCCUCUAAAAAAAAAUCUAUUUUAUUUUAAGCUACUCCUAACAGCUUCUCAUUUGUAGUUAUUUUUAAAUUAUUUUUAGAUUCUGAUUUUUUUUAAAAAUUUGUAACAAAUGGAUACAAUACUCUUAAAAGCGAUUACUUUUUUUAAAUAAUUGAUUUUUUUUUUAAAAAAAGCUAUAACAAAUGGGCUGUAAAUGACAGCAAAUUUGUUUGGAGUUGCUUGUGUUUGAAUCAUGAGUGAAACAAUUUUUUAUCUCACUUAAUUUAUCUUUUAAUCAAAUUUCAGAUUACUAAGAUUUCAUUGUCAUAGAAAGUAGAGGGUUUUAACACCAAAAAAACACUUUUACUCCUUCUGUCUUUAUUUAUAAGAAAAUUAUUUUUCACUUUUUAAUUGUCCUUUGAUAUUUUUUUUGUGUUAACCAUCUAAUUCUUAGAAAAAGGGACUCUAAUGAUCUGGAGUUCAGUCGAAAGAUAAAUAAAGUUUACAAUAACUUGAUUUUUCCGAACGAUUUGCCCUUUGGUUGAGCUUAUUAAACCACUUAAGCACAAUAACUUGAUUUUAUUUGUCCCUUAAUAUAAGAUAAUUUACAAAAUUUCACAAUUCAUUAGUCAUUUUUUACAAAAAUAUCGCUAUUUAAGGCCCGUUUGUUAAACAUUAAAAUAAAAGUGAUUUUGACAGAAAAUAAUUUAGAGAGAUUGUAUUUUAGAGAUUUUAUGAAUAAUCAGAAUCUAUUUUUUCGUUUUUUAUCGUAAUCAAAAUCACUUUUUUAAAACAAAUAAUUGAGUUUGUUUGGAUACAACUAUAUAAAAGGGAUUUUUUGUUACAAAACUAGUUCAAUCUUUUAAUUCAUAUUUUGAGCCCGUUUGUUAUAGUUUUGUUUAGGAAAAAAUCACUUUUUAAAUAAAAUAAUCAUUUUUAAGAAUAUUGCAUUCGUUUGUUAUAGAUUUUUGAAAAUAUCAUAAUCUAAAAAAAAAAUCUAAAAACAGCUUCAAAUGAGAAGCUGUUGAGAGUAGCUUCUCAAAAAAUAGAUUUUUUUUUAGAGGAGAUAGAAAAUAUGGAUCUAACGAUUGAACUAAUUUUGUAACAAUAAAAUCGCUUUUAUAUAGCUGUUUCCAAACAAACUAAAUUAUUAAAAAAAAAUUAUUAAAAAAAAAAUGAUUUUUACUACGCUAAACAAACGCAAAAUAGAUUUUGAUUUUUCAUAAGGAAAAUGCUAUUUUGUACGGAUGUUUUCCCUAAGAGUUUUUACGGACGCGUGUUAUUAAUCGAUAUCCACGCGCUUCAGUUUCUCUAUCCACAAAAAUAGGAUUAAAUUAAAUAUAAAUAAAAACCAAUAAUAGGAAUGAAACCCGCUGUCACCGCUCCCACCGCAAUUGUUCUCUUUUUCCGGUAAUUCACUCUCCAAUUGUAAUUCACUCUCAUUGGAGAACAUUGGAUGUUCUAAGAAUUUUCAACAAGAUAUUCCAGAACAAAUUACAAAUGGUCCUCACUUCAGCUAAAAAGCAAGUUCAUUAUUGUUUGUUCAUUAGAGAACAUGGAAGGUGUGCUUUUCAUUUCGAAACAGCGGCAGAAGGAAGAGAACGGUGGGUGGGUGUGGGUUAAGCAAUUCUAUCAUUUUUUUAAUUAUAUUUAUCUAGUAUUAUUAUUUAAAUAAAUUGCAAAAGUAUCUAUAUAGCAAAAGUAUCUGCAACACACGUGGAAAACUAACAUUUACACUCACCCGUAAAAAUUCGUACGCAAAUAUCCGUACUAUAUAGCAAUGCUGUUUUCAUAAUAUCUCCAAAAAAUAAUCUCUAUAUUAUUUUAUGUCAAAAUCACUUUUAUUUUAAUCAGUAAUAAACAGGCCCAACUCUCUCCUCUAAAAAAAUCUAUUUUUUGAUAAGUUGCUCUUAACAACUUUUCAUUUGAAGUUGUUUCUAGAUUUUUUUUUAGAUUCUGAUUUUUUUUUUUAAAAAGUUGUAACAAACGGAUGCAUAAAAGUGAUUUUUUUUUUUAAAAAAAAUGAUUUUUUUUCUUAAAAAAAGCUAUAACAAACGGGCUCUUAUCACAAAUGAAAAUAUUAAAAAACAUUUUCUCUCUAAUACUUCAUCCGUCUUAAAUUAGGUGUCCUCUUUUCUAAUUUUCUUUUUCUCAAAUGAUUUGUCUCUUUUAUAAUACCAAUACAACAUUUUUUAUUCUUUUUCAUUGACAUACCCUUAUUUAUUGCAUUUCAAUCAUCUAUAACUAUUCUACUAACUACAAUUAAUAAGACUGUUUUACUAAGCGAUAAUUUCUCCUGUCACUAUUAUAAGAAAAAAAAACACUAUAAAUUCAUUAAAUAAUUAAUACAUCUGGUCUAUAAUGUAGAUCAGAUACAUUAAUUAUUCAACGAAUUUAAAAAGAUUAUUUUUGCUUAUAAUAGUGACUCAAAAGAGUACAUAUUUUACCAUUAAAAUUAACUCAAUUAAUUAUUUUCUUAUUAAUCAUGUAAAUCUCAAAUGGAAUACCUAAUUUAAGAUGGAGCGAGUAAUAACUGCAGGCCUAAAUAUGCAUAACUAAUUUAAGAUGUGAGCUUGUAAGCUAUUCGCUAUCCGCUUAAGUUAAUUUGUUGGCCUUACGAAACAGGCCCUUAAAACAAAUUUAUUCGUUAAACAUAUUUUUUUAAUGGAGGUUAAUUUUUUUCUAGAAGUUCUUGUAAUGAAGGAUACAGAUAGAGCUUACUUCAAUUGGUAGAGACACUAUAUAACAUAUGUAGAGAUCGGAUUUCAAACCUCUGACAACUCACUUCUUCACAUUUUAAAUUUGUGAACUCUAGUCACCAAACUACUUAAAAAAAAAGGUACGAAUAGAAUAUUAUACAAACAAAUAUGAUAUUUCUAGCUAAAAUGACGAAUUAAUGUUUGCUAACCAUAUUUGAAAAUUCACCAAUACACAAAGUAAGUGCUUUAGGAUCACUAUAGUGUUGAGACGUACAUUUCGUGAUCGUCUGUCUGCUUUUUUUUACACUAAUAUGUAUAAAUAAUAAAUAAUGUCAUGCCAUUAAGCAUUUUUUUUAAGUAUAUGUUAGUAAAGAAAUAAUUAAUAUGCACGCGAAAAUUUUAAAGGGUUAUUUUAAAGGUUAAAUUACAUUAGAUAUCUUUUAAGUUAUUUAAUUAAAACAAAUUGAUUUGAAGUUUUUCAUAGUACUUCCUUCUUUAGGUAACCAAAAAAAAAGUACUUCCUUCUUUAUGUUAUUAAAUUGUAGUAAAGUAAUCCUUUAAGUUUUCUUUUUCACCGCUUAGACCUUCAAGUUAUUUAAGUUAACGGUAAACGUCAAAUAAUUUACAUUUCUAAGAUUCAAAAUUCUUCAAAUUGUUGUUCCAUUCCUAUAAAUACCCGUUCUCAUGAAUAUUGAAACCACAUCUCAGUUGUGUAAGAUACAAACAAAAUUUCAUAUGGCAACUUCAAAAGUUCUAAGCAUUGCUCUCUUUGUGCUGUUGGGUUUAAGCAUGUGUUCUGCUACUAGAAAACUCUCCCAAGAAGGAUCUGGGGGACUGCCUGGUGGUGGUGGACUUCCUGGUGUAGGAUCUGGCGAAGGUGGUGGACUUCCUGGUGUAGGAUCUGGUGGAGGACUGCCUGGUGGUGGUGGACUUCCUGUUGUUGGAUCUGGUAGAGGACUGCUUGGUGGUCUCGUGGGAGGACUGCCUGUUGUUGGUGGACUUCUUGGUCCAAUUCUUGGUGGAUAGUGCCGUGAAGGUGCGCAUAUUGGAAAUAAUGAUGGCAUUGUACCUGAUGGUCAUCACUAACUUAUAAUGAUAUCUUCAUAAAUAAUAUCUAUAUAGUUCUCCUCCUAAUAACCAUAUAUAUUCUGUAGAAUAUAUCAACAAGAAUAAGAUAUGCCUAUAAACUUUAAUUAAUAAUAUAUUUACAAUGUUGAGUUCAUGCAAAUUGAUGCACUAUCAUGAAAAACUAUAUUCUUAUGUCCACCGAAUGAUUAUAAUUCUUUCCAUUUUUGUGUUUUUUUUGUGGUGUUACUUUCAUUUUUUAAUUAACAAUAUUAUAAGUGAAAGAAAAGAUUGAAGAGCAACACUAACGACAUCUGAAGUCCCGAUACUUAAAAAUAGAUGACGUAUUGUAUUCCCUGCAUAUCCUGCACCGAUACCUGGCUGAUACUUCCCGAUACGUAUCAGGAGAUCGUAUCCGAAGAUUAAAGUUUAUUUUUUAAAAAAAUAAUUAUCUGAUACUUCUCGAUACAUAUCAGGAGAGUAUCCGAUAAUUAUCUUGCACUGAUAUCUGCCCUGAUACUUCCCAAUUAAUGUUAACUAAAAUAACUUAACUGAUGUGUUCUUUUUUGGAUAUAGUGUUUUUUUUUAUCGAUAUAGUAUAACACUAACAAUGUUCCUUUUGGAUAUAGUAUAACACUGAUGGUGCUCUUUUUGUGAUAUAUUGUGUAUGUAAUUGACUAAUCAUCACUCUCUUAAUCGUCAAUAUUAUUUAUAUUUAUGUUGAUGUGAUACGAGUCUAUGACCGAUUUCUUUUGUUUGUUAAAAAAUGGUUAUAAUUAUAUUGUACAUUUAAUUAUAUAACUUUUGUUUAUUAAUGUAUUCCAGCCAUAUCGUAUCUUGAUUUUUAAAAAAUUUCCAUAUCGGUGCAGUAUCGUAUCUCGAAUCAGGGCUUCACAACAUCAUCUAAAUUUUUCUACCCUCCACCUGUUUACCGAUUGUACAUGUUCCCUGCAUUUUUUUUAUAUAUUUUUGUUUUACUUUAAUGUGUUUGAAAUUCAUCAUCCUCCCCUUCAUUGCACAAUCUUUCAUACUGCCCUUUUCUUUAGUCCUUCGUUCUAAAGAGCUCCUGCGCUGCAAACUCCAUUCAAUUAUGAUUACCCCAAAUUUCCUUUCUCUUGCAGACUUAAACUUUUAAAAUUGUUGAUUUGUUUGACCUUUGAAUUGUAGUGGUUUUGAAUGUAUACUAGGCUUAUUAAUUGAAAUCCAUAAUUGUUUGUGGUGGUAAAUAAUUGAUAACAGAUUCAAUUUUUCUACAAUUUCUCAUGCACCAUUUGGUUUCGUCCCCACAAGCUAUUUUUCUAACAACCAUUGUUUUUCCUGGGUGAAUGUCAAUGGGUAAAAAAAUAUAAUAUGUCAGUCAGAUUGACGGAAAGGGCAAUUCCAUCUAAACUGACAAUACAUAUCGAUUCACUUCAUGGAAGAAAAAAUAUCUUUUUAACCUUUGUGUCUACUUGUUUUAUCUCUUUUAUAAACAAAUCCAAGACGUUUUUUGAAGGUUUUGUUGUUGAGGUAGUAAGAAUUGAAGAGAGAGAAGAACCCUUUAAGGCUUUUGGCUUUUGCAGAUUGUGGUUGUUAUGCUUUUGUCAAACAGAACCGGUAACUGGUAAAUCAUUUUAAAAUAUUAGUGAUGAAAAAAUAACCCUUUAAGGCUUUUGGCUUUUGGAGAGAGUAACCAUUGUUAUGCUUUUGUCAAACAGGCAGUACCGGCAAAUCAUUUUAAAAUAUUGGUGACGUGGACCAAUGAGUGUGAGUGUGUGGAGCAUGUUGUUUGUGAUGUUCCUUCUGCAACCCAUCAAUUAUUAGAUUUUUCGGACGAAGAAGGUUGUGUGGAGCAUGUAGAAGCAUGUUGCUCCAUUUACAAAAGCACACACGCUGGAAUAUUAAACUUUGCUAGAUUGCUGAAGUGACUCAAUCCUCAUAAAAAGUUCGGUGAAAAUGAUGAUGAGGAAGAAAGCUUAGGUUGGAUUCAGACAACAAUUGGAUCCUCGUAUGAUACACUCGAGAUGCAUUUCUUGAAUUUCGUCUUAUGUAGCUGAAAACAAGUUGAGAACGACUUUCAAAAGAGGAGGUUCUAAUAGCAAAUCAUGAAGAAGAAAUGGCUCUAAUAGCCAAUCUUGAAGAACUAAGUUACAUACCACAAAUUUCUAAAGAAUUGGUUUUAAAUGAAGAACUAGAUCCACAAUAAUAGCCAAGUCAUUUUUACUGCAUCCACAAUAAUUCAAAAGGCAAAUUCUAUGGUACACCCAACAAUUUGAGUGUACCGGUGCACCAAAUUAUUAUAUUAAUAGUUAAACGAGUUGUUUUUUUGAAGAAAAAUAAUUGUUUUCUAUCAUUGACAAUUACAAUAAUUAAAUCGUAUUUACCAAAAGCGUCGACGAAAUAAAAUUUACUUUUUUUUAAUUUUUGUUACAUAUAACAAAGAAUAUUGAUUAUUUUUUAUGAGAAAAUGUUAAAAAUUUAAUAUAAUUUUUAUAAACAAUGAAAUGAUGUUUUUUCUUAUAAAAUGAUGUUUUCUAAAAUAUAAAUAUCGAUAAAUAACUCUUUAUUUCAUAAAAUAAUCCUUAAAUUAUAAAUUUUUGAAGUAGAGUACCGGUACACCUCAAUUUAUGUGGUGUACCGUAGAGGUCCCCAAUUCAAAAUAGGUUGUAUCACAACGAAUCAUAUAUACUCAAAGAAGACUUUCGUUGAAAAUUAUAUAAAUGCAAUUCGAAGAAAGCUACCCUUGAAGAUAGCAUGCAUAUUAGAAGCGUUCCAAAUCAUCAAAAAAUAACUACCAUGUAAAGAGUGCAAGAGAAUUUCAAAUUGGAAGGAGCUUGUCGAAGAAGUUUUUAGGUGGUUUAUGACACUUGUCAUCAAUGCAAUAUAUUAGUUAGUUUUUUUGUUACACUUGAGAAAUUACCCUAGCAAGUUACACUUGGAAGUUAUCAAAAUAUUCAGAACUCUCAACUUCGCAAGAACAAUUAUGUAAGGAAGUUUUGAAGAUAGGGAGUUAGAAAUAAGAAAAAAGAUUACAAAGAAAGCGACCAGUCCUUUAAAGGACAUUUGUCAUGCAUGCAACGUAAUAGUUAGUUUAUUUUUAUUUUAUAAAUUGUAAACUCAAACUCCAUGCAAAUGAGUUCGUUUCUGUUCGAUAAAACUAUGCCUACUAGAAACACAUCCUUCCUCACAUGAUAAUGUUCUUACCGGAAAUAUUGAAAGAAUGAUGUAUAAAACUCUUAUAUAAUAUAUACAUAUAUUUUCACUUUUCCCACACUUGAGCAUGUACUUUUUCUUUAUCUUUUUUCCUUUUAUAUAUUUAAAAACCUACAUCUUUUUUCCUUUUAUAUAUUUAAAAAUCUACAUGUUUCUUUGAUUCACAACUUUAGGUUUGUUAUACGUAAACCUAUCUAGUAGGAACCGUUCAUAAGGAUUUAAAUGGAAUCCUAGAUUACUUGUUGAGUUCAAUUGUUGUCAAGAAAACCUGUUGAACCAACAAUUAUAUGUCGGGUGGAGGGGAAGAAACGGGAUGGAACCUAUUUCCAACAUCAUCCCAAAAGAUAAGCAUAUGAGCAUUUUCGAAUAUCCGAAGUAACUUUAUAGUUCCUCACAUCAAGCAACUUGGUUUACUUAGAAAGACGCCUCCUCCUAUCUCAGGAUUCAAUACACCAACGUGUAACACAUAUCGUAAUAUGAUUUCAACAACAACUUCAAUCAAAAUAUCAACUAACUGAACUGUAUAGAAGUUCACACACACUGACGUGUAUAUAUAUAUAUUUGUGUGUGUGUGUGUGUCCACCCUCACGUAUGAUCACUUGUUCAGCUCAUGAAAGUUUAAUAUACAUACAAAAAGAAGGCUUCUAGAUCACUAAUAUCAAGAUGUAAAGUUUGCAUCACCAACUCCCGUGAUUCAUCCAUAUUCUCAUACAUAAUCAACUAUGUUACAAUGUAUGUUUUUGCUUUACUUUUCAUUUAAAACGGUUUUUUCCUGAAAAUAAUCUUGAAUAGGAAUGAAUAAUUAAUAAUUAAUGGUUUCGCGGUAAAAUUUGUAAAGAGAUUUUUUUAGUUUGCAUGUGGCCUUUGAAAUUUCUAGAACGUCAGUAAUGAAGAAUGGAAUGGUUAGUAUAAGGGUUUUGCAUUUUUGUAAGGAGAUAAAAUAUAUAUAUAUAUAUAUAUAUAUAUAUAUAUAUAUAUAUAUAUAUAUAUAUAUAUAUAUAUAUAUAUAUUAAUGAUUAUACUAAAUCAUCCUUAUUAAAUAUAUUCUAUUGAUGAAAGUGGAAAGAAGAGCAUAUAAUAUAUAUAUAUAAAAUAAUAUUAAUGAUUAUAGUAAAUCAUCCUUAUUAAAUAUAGAGUAAAUAGUCAAAAAAAACCCCGAAAUUGCAGGUUUCGUCAAUUACCCCCCCGCAGUUUACAAAACGUCAAUUACCCCCUCGAAAUUGCAUAAUAAUGGUCAAUUUCGUCCAUCCGUCCAUUUCUGCCGUUUGAAUGGUGACGUGGCCGUUAACUGACCAAAUGGCACAUCCACGUGAGACACUUGAUUAAGACACGUCAUAGGGGGGUUUUUGACUAGUUUUGAUUUUUUUUUUCUUCAGUUUUUUUAUCUGCAAGGGUAACUUCUUCUUUGUUAUAUACACAACCAUAAUUUCAUCUUCAUCCUCAUUCUUCCUCAUUCUUCUCCAUCUCAAUUCAGUUUCUUCCUUCUAAAUCGUUUGAAAAUGAUGGGUGGUGGAUUUGGAUAUACAAAUCAAAGGAAAAUGAAAGAAACAAAAAGUUCUCAUUCCAUGGGUGAAAGCAUGAACCUUAUUACCCUAAAAAGUCACUGUGAACGAGCAUCUGUGGUUAGGGUUGCUGGAACUGAAUAUAAUUUUGGUAGAGAAUUUUUCUCAUGCCCAUUUCCAAAGGUAAUUGAACCUUAAUUUUAGUUUUUCCAUUUUUUUCCCAAAUUCGUUCCCUUUCUGUAAUUUUAGGGAUUUACCCCAUUAUUAUACCCAAAUUUGAGGUUUAUUAAGUUGUUGGUUAAUUUUGAUAUGUUGGGUAACUUUGAUUUUGAUUUUUAGGAUCAUAAGUACAAUUGUAAUUUUUUUGUAUGGGUUGAUGAGGCUGAGGCUUUGGGGCUGCUUAAUGGAAUACUUGAUCAAGAUGUCUGGAAGGUUGGACUGUUGAGGAAGAAUGAUAAUUUGAAGAAAAGAAAUGCAUGUAAUGAUUGUCAAAAUGGUGGUGAUGAUAUUUGGAAGGCACCUUUGAUGGAGAAAAUGCAAAUUUUAAGUCAAGAUAGAAACAAUGAAAAGGUGUGGAAGACAAAGUUGCUGGAUAGAAUUGAUGCAUUGAUGAAUGAAGUCAAGUUAUUGAAGUACAUGAUAGUAUUGUUGUGUAUCUUGGAAGGCACCUUUUCACAUUAAGUCAUUUACCCCCUGCCAGCAAGUAGCGACACGUCAGCAUCAAAUAGCCACAUCAUCACCUUUCAUAGAACAACUUAACAGAAGGACGAAAUUGACUGACGUUAUGUAAUUUCGGGGGGGUAAUUGACGUUUUGUAAACUGCAGGAGGGUAAUUGACGAAACCUGCAAUUUCGGGGGGUUUUUGACCAUUUACUCUUAAAUAUAUGUACAUUAUCAUUAUCAUAAAUUAGCGUCAAGGGAGACAUGAAUGUGCUCUUCUUUCCACUUUCAUCAAUACAAAUAUAUAAAAUUGUAAAGUUUUAUCUUAUUCUUAAAAAUAUUAAGUUAUUUGAUUGGUAAGAAAUGAUAAAAUGGAGGAAUAAAAAAAAGUAGUUUUUUUUUUUUGAGAAAAAAAAAAGUAUUUAUUAAAAAUUAAGAUUCUUGUAAUAAAAUUAAAAGAAUACUCUCUCCGUCCCAAUUUAAGUGAGCAUUUUGCUCAUUUCACACUUAUUAAGAAAAAUGUAUUAGUGAAGGAUGGAGAAAAAUGGUUUUAAGUGUUCUUGUCAAGUAUUGAUCCAUUUACCAUUAUCAUAAAUGCAAAGUAGAAUACAUUGAAUUGGGAAUAACGAAAAUAGUAUUAAUUAGGGUUAUAAUUGAAAGAAAGAAAAAAGUAAUUAAUAUUACAUUGAAAAACGAGAUGGGUCUGUUUUUUUAGGAUAAUAUUCGAUAAGGUAAAUACGAGGAUUAAGAAAGAGAGCUAACAAAUGUAUAUUUUCAGCAAUCAAAUUAUAAUCAAUAAACUUAAAGAGUAAAAUUCAAUACAAAAUUUAUAUUUUAAUUCUUAACUUGUGCUAUUGGGACACAAGUUAACAUGACCCAUAUUUAAAAUAGAUUACAUUAAAAAGAUUAUGUACCUUUACAUUAAAAAGAUUAUGUACCUUUUUAUUAAUAGUAUAGAUGUAAAUUGAACUCCUCAAAAUAUAAUAAAUUGAAAGAUAAUUGGUAGAACCCGUUUGGGUGUAUGGGUGUAUGUUAAUUUCUUUUUGUUUCCUUUCAUUUCGACUACUUGUAUGUAAAAUUGUAAAUUUUUUAGAUCCUUAUUGACAGACAUUAUACUUAUAAGUAAGGUUUUGUAACUCGAGAGUUUACCUCAAUUUAUUUUGUCUAGGUAAACUCGACUUGUAAACUCGACUCGAGAACUCGUAUAAGUUUACCUAAAAUUAAAAUUAUAUAAAAAAAAUUAUAUGCAUGACAUAUAUAAGCUAACAUAAUAUUGUAAAUAGGUUAAUAGUGUAAAAUAUGACUUAAUUACAACAGCAAAUUACACCAAACUACCAUAAUAAAACGUUAUGCUCAACUUAGCAUCAAAAUACAAAAAUUAACGCACAAAAUCAUAAGUUUCAUAAUGUCUCUAAGUUUAAGUCAUCCAUAAAACCAUCCAAAAAAGCAAGUUUCACAAGUUCCUAAAGUUGUUGACAAAACUACCUAAAAAAUAAACUAGUUAAUUUCUUCAAAAGGUAAACAAACACCACCACCGAAAUCCUAACCGGCAUCGCAAUCACCGGCGUCGGAAUCUAAAUUUCCACCGUCGGAAUCUAAAUUUCCACCGUCAGAAUCACAACCCUAAUUGGUAUGUGCUCCCAUGUUCAUAGUUUCAGAACUUAGAGAAGAAAGAAAACAAACGUUUCAUUUCAGGAACGUGUUAUUGUAAAGGUAACUAUUCAGUAAAUGUUUCAGUCUUUGGGCUUGUAGAAAAGGAAUUGGGUUUUGAAAAAAAAAAAAAAUAUUUUUUAUAGAUGUAAACUCAUAAAACUCGGUAAACUCGGUCGAGAUUACUUCCUAAUUAACACAAUUUUGGUACCUAAACACGUAAACUCGAAGUGUUAACACUCGAUUUGCGGAACGUUGCAUAUAAGGACUCUUUGUUAUUGUUAAUAUAUUAUAUUUUUGUUUGUUAAAAAAAAAAACUUCAAAGUGAUUGAUAUUAUAUUAAAAAAAUUAGGAGAAUAUAAUAUUAAUUAAAUAAUACACUCCGAAACUAAUCAAUUUUGCAUAGCAAUUAUUAUGAAAUAGAGAGAGUAGUGUCUUAAGACCAUCCCAUAAUGAUGGGUGUUUCACCUAUUUUCUAAUGAAAUAAAUGAUCAUUUUAAAAAUGUAAUAAUAUUUUAUUAGUGAUACUUAUUAAUAAAUUUUGUUGUGGUGCUGUGUUAGAGAGAUUGAAUACUUAUUAGAUAUUAACAUUAAAAAUUUACAAAAUAAAUACCGUGUACAUGUGAGACCCACUUAAACACCUAAAUAAGAGAGCUCCGUUAUAGAUGGUCUAACUCUUUACCUUUUCCUAAACUCUUUGUCUUUUCUUAAUGAAAAUUAACCCUUUGCCUUCUUUAACACGGAAGAUUUGCUCUUUUAUUUUAUUAGUGUACAUAAUUUGCGAAAUCUAAACUCCCUAACUUGCUAGAAUACGGCGUAAAAUAAACUAGCUAGAGUACGAAUUUCAUAGAUGUAUAGGUUUAGUUAUUAUUUACCUAAAUUAAAAGAAAAUAACAUCUUCAAAAACAUAUCCUAUAAUUUUUUCUCUAUAUGUUUGGACGAAUUAAUCAACACACAAAAAUAAAAAAUAAAAAAUAAUAUAUGCAUGUAAGUGGUAGACAAUCAAUAUUACACUAUUACUCCCUUUAAUUAAGUGAUUGUUUUCAAACCAAGUUGUUUGGGCUCUAGUGGUAAGGAGCUCUUUCUAGAGACAUAUUUGAGGAAUAUUGGGUUCGAUUCCCAGAAGGAACAACACUUGAUCAGUGUGCAUGCCUCUACGCUUGAGCCGGAUUAAUCGCCCACCUUUAGUGGGUCAGGAACCGAUGCGAAAGCCAAAAAAAAUAAAUGAUUGUUUUCAAGAGAUUAAUAAACUUUACUAAAUGACAGCAAAUUUGUUUGGAGUUGCUUGUGUUUGAAUUAUGAAACAAUUCUUGAUCUCACUUAAUUUAUCUUUUAAUCAAAUUUCAGAUUACUAAGAUUUUAUUAUCAUAGAAAGUGGAGGGUUUUAACACAAAAAACACUUUACUCCCUCUAUCUUUAUUGAUAAGAAAGUCAUUUUUCAUUUUUUUAACUGUCUUUUGAUAUUUUUUUGUGUUAACCUUCUAAUUCUUAGGGAAAGGAACUCUAAUGAUCUGGAGUUCGGUCGGAAGAUAAGUAAAGUCUAAUCAAGAAUUGUUAUACGGAUCAUUAAACUUGAGUUUUUCCGAACGAUUCGUCAUUUGGUUGAGCUUAUUAAUCCACUUAAGCACAAUAACUUGAUUUUAUUUGUCCCUUAAUAUAAGAUAAUUUACAAAAUUUCACAAUGCAUUAGUCAUUUUUUACAAAAAUAUCACUAUUUAAUCACAAAUGAAAAUAUUAAAAAACAUUUUAUCUCGAAUACUCCAUCCGUCUUAAAUUAGGUGUCCUAUUUUCUAUUUAUUUUUUUGUCUCAAAUUAUUUGUCUCUUUUAUAACAUUUUUUAUUCCUUUCCAUUCACAUACCCUUAUUUAUUGCAUUUCAAUCAUCUAUAACUAUUCUACUAACUACAAUUAAUAAGGCUGUUUUACUAAAUGAUACCCUCUCCUGUCACUAUUAUAAGGAAAAAACACUAUAAAUUCAUUAAAUAAUUAAUGCAUCUGGUCUAUAAUGUAGACCAGAUACAUUAAUUAUUCAAUGAAUCUAAAAAGAUCAUUUUUGCUUAUAAUAGUGACAAGAGAGAGUACAUAUUUUACCAUUAAAAUUAACUCAAUUAAUUAUUUUCUUAUUAAUCAUGUAAAUCUCAAAUGGAAUACCUAAUUUAAGAUGGAGUGAGGAAUAAUUAUUUUGUAGAAGUUCUUGUAACGAAGAAUACAUAUAGUGCUUAGUUCAAUUGGUAGAGACAUUAUAUAAUAUAUGCAGGGAUUGGGGUUCGAACCUCAGACAACACACUUCUUCACAUUUUAAAUUUGGAGUGGUAAGUGUCUCUCGAAAGCAGGUCAUGAGGUAAGGAUAAAAUCUGUUUUGCAGUCUAUUCCCACUUAUGUGAUGAGCAUUUUUCAGCUACCUAGUACUUUGAUUGACUCCAUAGAAAAGAUGAUGAACUCUUUCUGCUGGGGACAUGGCAAAACGACGCUAGGAGGGAUACAUUGGAUCAAUUGGGAGAAGUUGUCGGCACCAAAAAUUCAUGGAGGUAUGGGUUUCAAGGACCUCUCUGCUUUUAAUUUAGCUAUUCUGGGGAAAUAGGGAUGGAAAUUUAUUACCGAACCGGAUUCUCUUGUUGCUCGAAUUUUUAAAGCUCGGUAUUUCCCGUCUGGUUCCUAUCUCACGGCUACUGUUGGACAUAACCCGAGCUAUGUUUGGUGCAGUAUCAUGCGUGCUAGAUUUAUAGUGCGUGGGGGAGCACGGUGGAGCAUAUGCUCAGGUGCGAUCAUUCCCAUUCUCAACGAACCUUGGUUGUCAAACGGGGAGUUCAUUAGUAGUGAUAUUCCAGGUGUUCACUUUGUUCAUAAUUUUACUAUUAAUAGUCUGAUGAAUUUACAUGACAAAAGCUGGAAUGAGUAGGUGGUUAGAUAAUUUUUUAGCGUGGAUAUUGCAGAUAAAAUACUUCACAAGCCACCUAUUUCUCAGGUUGAGGAAGAUAGAAUUCAUUGGAAAGCAAAAAGGAUUGGAUGCUACUCUGUACGCAGUGCUUACAGGUUGUGCGUAACAGAAUUAAUUGAUUCUUCCUAUUUAUGGCGUCCGGGGUAUUGGUCUGGUAUUUGGAAUCUUAAAGUUCCACCGAAGGUUAAGAAUUUAUUUUGGUGUAUGUGUCUGGGAUGUUUACCGACCCGUGUCCAUCUGUUGGAUAAAGGUGUUGUUUGUCCCACUAACUGUUCUAGCUGUAACUCAACUCAUGAGGAUCUUUUGCAUGUUUUUUUCGACUGUCCUUUUGCUAUACGGGUGUGGAACAGGACCGGCCUUUGGAGCUCGGUGCAACAUGCCCUCACUCAUACUACUUCAGUUACGGAUGAUAUCUUCUCUCUUUUAGAGAAUUUGUCUGCUGAGUUAUCUCAAAGUCUGUCAACUGCCAUGUGGAGUCAAUGGAAACACCGCAAUCUUAGAGUUUGGGAAGAUGUUACAAAAACAAGUGUUAUGGUUGUAGAGCAUGUUAGGAACAUGAUUACAAAUUGGAAUUGGUGAAUGCUCUGGAUGUCCUUGCAUCCACUUCGCCUCCUCAACAUGUACGUAAUGGCUGCGAACAUGGGGGCCUGCUCCUCACACCAACACAAUAGAAUCUUGUGACAACCCCCUAUGUCAGGUAGAUAUAAAUGUAAUAUCGACGCGGCUUUUUCUUGUCAUCAUAAUCCUAUAGGUAUCGGCAUUUGUGUUCGCGACUCGGAAGUGGUUUUGUACUGGCUAAGACUAUUACAUAUCCUUGUACUGUUUCGGUGGAUGUUGGAGAAGCUUUAGGGCUGCACUCUGCUUUGCAAUGGUUGAGUGAUAUGCAGCUUGAUAACGUGGACUUUGAAACAUAUUCUAAAUUAACAGUUGAUGCCUUCCUUUCUAAAAGGAAUGACUUGUCUGAAUUUGGCCGUAUUAUUUCUUCCUGUCGUUCUUUGUUUCGCAAUUUAUUUUCUAACUCUAUGGUGGAGUUUGUUAGGCUACAAGCCAACGCGGUUGCUCAUGCUCUUGCACGAGAGGCCACGUCUUUAGCUAGUCCCUUCGUUUAUUAUGAUAUACCCAAUUUUAUUGAAACUAUUAUGAUUAAUGAAAUGUUAUAAACACGUUUCCCUCAACAACAACAAAAAAACCAUAUAAACAAAACUAAUAUUUGAAAAUCCGCCGGUACACAAAAGCAAGAGCUUUAUGAUCACCGUAGCGCUGAGACGUACAUUUCGUAAUCAUCUGUCCACUAUUUUUUACGCUAAUAUGUAUAAAUUAUGAACAAUGUCAUGCCAUCAAGCAAAUUUUUAAGUAUAUGUUAGUAAAGAAAUAAUUAAUGCACACGAAAAUUUUAAAGGGUUAUUUUAAAGGUUAAAUAAGAUUAGAUGUCCUUUUAAGUUAUUUAAUUAUAACUGACUUGAGACCUUGGAGUUUGUUCCUCCUCAAAGUCUUAAGUUCGAUUAUCUCUAGUGUCAAUUUGGAUGGGCUAAUUUAACUUCUUCAAAAAAAAAAAAAUUAUAACAAAUUGAUUUUAAGUUUUUUUAGUACUUUCUUCUUUAUAUUAUUUAAUUGUAAUAAAGUAAUUUUUAAGUUUUUUUUUACCACUUAGAGCCUUCAAGUUAUUCAAGUUAAAUAAUUUACAUUUCUAAGAUUCAAAAUUCUUCAAAUUGUUGUUCCAUUCCUAUAAAUACCCGUUCUCAUGAAUAUUGAAACCACAUCUCAGUUGUGUAAGAUACAAACAAAAUUUCAUAUGGCAACUUCAAAAGUUCUAAGCAUUGCUCUCUUUGUGCUGUUGGGUUUAAGCAUGUGUUCUGCUACUAGAAAACUCUCCCAAGAAGGAUCUGGGGGACUGCCUGGUGGUGGUGGACUUCCUGGUGUAGGAUCUGGUGGAGGACUGCCUGGUGGUGGUGGACUUCCUGGUGUAGGAUCUGGUGGAGGACUGCCUGGUGGUGGUGGACUUCCUGUUGUAGGAUCUGGUGGAGGACUGCCUGGUGGUGGUGGACUUCCUGUUGUUGGAUCUGGUAGAGGACUGCUUGGUGGUCUCGUGGGAGGACUGCCUGUUGUUGGUGGACUUCUUGGUCCAAUUCUUGGUGGAUAGUGCCGUGAAGGUGCGCAUAUUGGAAAUAAUGAUGGCAUUGUACCUGAUGGUCAUCACUAACUUAUAAUGAUAUCUUCAUAAAUAAUAUCUAUAUAGUUCUCCUCCUAAUAACCAUAUAUAUUCUGUAGAAUAUAUCAACAAGAAUAAGAUAUGCCUAUAAACUUUAAUUAAUAAUAUAUUUACAAUGUUGAGUUCAUGCAAAUUGAUGCACUAUCAUGAAAAACUAUAUUCUUAUGUCCACCGAAUGAUUAUAAUUCUUUCCAUUUUUGUAUUUUUUUUUGUGGUGUUACUUUCAUUUUUUAAUUAACAAUAUUAUAAGUGAAAGAAAAGAAUGAAGAGCAAUACUAACGAGUAACGACUAACUCUCUGUCACACUCUUUUUGACACACUCUCAACUAUUAGACCACAUCAUCUAAUUUUUUCUACCCUCCACCUGUUUACCGGUUGUACAUGUUCCCUGCAUUUUUUUUAUAUAUUUUUGUUUUACUUUAAUGUGUUUCAAAUUCAUCAUCGUCCCCUUCAUUGCACAAUCUUUCAUAUUGACCUUUUCAUUGGUCCUUCGUUCUAAAGAGCUCCUGCGCUGCAAACUCCAUUCAAUCAUGAUUACCCCAAAUUUCCUUUCUCUUGAAGACUUAAACUUUUAAAAGUGUUGCUUUGUUUGACCUUUGAAACUUUGUAGCGGUUUUGAAUGUAUACUAGGCUUAUUAAUUGAAAUCCAUAAUUGUUUGGUGGUGGUAAAUAAUUGAUAAGAGAUUCAAUUUUUCUACACUUUCUCAUUCACCAUUUGGUUUCGUCCCCACAAGCUAGUUUUCUAACAACCAUUGUUUUUCCUAGGUGAAUGUCAAUGGAUAAAAAGAUAUAAUAAUGUAUGUCAGAUUGACGGAAAGGGCAAUUUCAUCUAAAUUGGCAAUACAUAUCGAUUCACUCCAUGGAAGAAAAAAUAUCUAAACAGGCAGAACCAGUAACUGGUAAAUCAUGUUAAAAUAUUGGUGACGUGGACCAAUGGGUGAAAGUGUGACAGAGAGUUUGUCCUUAGCAUUUUUUAAGAAUGAAUGAUUCCCUAUAAAAAAAAUUAAAAAAUUGGAAGAAUGAAAACAAAAGAAGAAGGUGCAAGCUAAUUGAUCAAAACGAAAUCAUAGAACUUGUUGACUUUUUGAACUCAGGAUUGAGAACACUUGCUCAAGAAGAAUGUUAAUUUUCAACUAAGAUUUCAAGAAUAUUAUCUAUCAUAAUUGAUGAAACAAGAAUAUUCACAUUUUUUUUGUUAAUAAAAAUGCUUGUAUUUCACUAUGCAACAAUGAUAUUUGGACAUCCCAAAUAUGUAAGGGGAAAACGAUUUGUUAUUCAUUCAAGUUGGAAAUACAAUAGUUGGAUACCUAUUUAUAGCAAAAGCAUCCAAGUAACUAAGUUAGCUUGCUUUACAAGUAACUGAGCUGAAAGAGAACUUUGUUCUUACAAGUUAGCUUGCUUCUGAGCAUACUCCUCACCAUGUUCUUCAAGGUCCUAUUCUUUCUUUCAGUACGUAACACCAUUUUGUUGAGGUGUGUAAGAUGCAGUAAGUUACCUUCUGAUUUCGUUUGAUCUACAAAAUUCAGUGAACUCUGCAGAAGUAUACUCACCACCUCUAUCUGAUCUUAAGCACUAGAUCAAGCAACUAGAUUCCUUUUCAACUAAACUCUUGAAUUGCUUGAAUACCUCUAAUGCUCUUGAUUUCUCUUUCAAAAUAUAUAUCCAUGUUUUUCUACUAAAAUCAUCAGUAAAUGUCAUGAAGUAUCUGCUACCAGAGUUGGAACUUGGUUUAAUAAGGCCACAUAGAUCAGAAUGAACCAGAUCAAGCUUCUCUGAAGCUCUCCAUUGUGUUUUCUUUGGAAUAGAUUCUCUAUGUUGCUUCCCUAACAAGCGAUCUUUGCAUUUUGCCUCAAUUUCUUGUAGUUUUGGUAAAUCUCUCACCAUUUUUUUCUUCAUCAUAAUCUUCAAACCCUUCCAGCUAAGAUGGCCAUAUCUAUAAUACCAUAUCUUAGCAUCUUCACAUUUUUCAAUUUUAAACUUUCAGGAACAAUAAUUGGUGCAGAGAUCAUGAACAUUCUAUUGGUGCUCAUCUGUGUUGACAUAACUAUUCCCCUCUCAUCAUGAUAAACGUUUUCAAGUAUCUUUCUUAAACAUAAUUGUUCAAUUCUCCUGCUAAAGUUGUCCAAUACUAAGUAAACUGUUUCUAAGUCCAGGCAAGUAAUACACAUUAGUUAUGACCUAAAUCAUACCACCAAUGAGUAAUUUCAAGAAAGAAGGAACGAGAACCACUGUGGUGUAUUGUGUUUUAUUUGUUGAUAUAAUUUGAGUCGUGCGAUCAAUUAAAUUUAACGGUUGAAAUUUGGUGUAAGUCUUCUGGUGUCAACGGAUCCUGACUUAUAUAUAUAUAUGGAAAUGUUAACCAUUGCCCUUGGGGCAUUGGUUAAAGUACUAAAAUAAGUAAGUUUGGAAAAGUGGUGUAAUCAUUACUAAGAAAAAAGUAAAGACUUGUAUUUCCAAGACAAAGUUUCUAUUAAUGGAAUCCUUAAUCAUUGCCCUUAGGGCACUGGUUAGCAAGACCCAUAAUGGAAUCCUUAACUAGCCGUUCUCAAUUCAAACUAAAACAGGUGAACUACUGGGAAAAGUUUUUUCCCAUCUCCAAAAUCCAAUUAUGUUUUUUAUUUUGGAUUUUAUGGAGGAUAUUUUUUAUAUGCCAGAUGAAUAAGAAAAGAGUCGGAAGGAGUAAGAUAUUAAAGCAAAAAUAGUCAAAGUAUAAAUCAAGAAAUAGUGAAACACUCCCUAACACUUUCUUUCAAUACACUCUAUUAUUUGUAGGUUCCACUAUCCCAUUAGCAAAACACUUUCUUUUUUAAACACUUACCACAAAAAAAUGUUGGAAAGAUAAUAUAUUGCUAUCCCUUUUCUUAUCUAAAAUUCUUCCAACAGUAUAAAAAUUUUGAGUGUUCCUAAAUGAAAAAACAGCUUUAACUGUUUGGAACAAAAUUAAAACCUUUACCACAAUUAUUUCGACCGCAGCAUCAUGAUUUCAAGUUAUCUGCAACACAACUUUAAUCAAGAAUGUAUUUAGUGAACGCUUUUGGAUCCACGUUGGAUUUUUAUGAAAUUGCACGGCUGCACAGAAGCCUAACAUUGUAGCUUUGUAAUAUUCACGUUCAACAUACAUCCGAACGCAAGAUUUGAUGUGUCAACUCAGAUCAACAUAUACAAUCAACCAUAGAACUUUCAAUGUCAAGGAUUUUAAUGAACAAACACUGAAAUUUAAACCAUUGACCAUAACUACAUUCCACGGAGUUACCGCUAUGACUUUCAUUAGUCUGUAUGGGAAUCAUAUUCAUCUACACAAACAAUUUUUCUGUAACAGGGAAAAGGAGAUACUAUUGAACAAUUUUUACAUGAUGGGGAACCUUAAAACUAACCAAAUUCUCUCACUCCACUAACUGAACUUCUGUUGAACAUGACACUAGCUCUUGAUCAAGGUGAAACGUCUUGCAUUCCGGAAUCACAUUCUUCAUCCAUGUCACUCACACAGUUAUCAUAAUUUGCAUCGGUUGAGUCAUUAUCAUCCUUUUCUCCAUUAUUAUCACAAUCAAAACCAUAUUUGUUGUGUAAAUAUUUUGAUUUUGGAGCUGUCUCUUCAUUUUCCACAAUACUAGAGAACCAGGGUGUACCUUGUUGGGCAUAAAACAGAAUGUAUGCCUUACGAUUCAGGACUUCUUCUUCAGAAACACUAGAAACCUGAAAAGAAAUUAAUUAUCAGACAAAUAAUGAUUCACAUUUCAACAAAUUACUAACUACAAAAUUGACAAAACAUUCUUUAAAAAAGCAAAAUCUAUGACUAUGAUCUAUCUGCAAAUAGUAAUUUAAAGUAGCAAAUUACUAGUAAUGCUUAAAUUAUGUGUGCAAUUUAAAAUUUUGCAAAAACCAGUCAAUAAUUAAACAAUGCAUGAGCAUAUACAUGACUCAAUACUAAUUAUACUAUCACUUUUUAUUUUCAAACAGAACCUAUUUAAAUAGGUAAAAAGGGUUAAGCUAGCCUACAGAAAGAAUUUUCCACUAUAUUUUACCUUAUCAUCAUCCAUCAAAUACCAUUUGUCUGGAGCAGAACGCACAAAGCUAAAAUAGUGCCCUGAAUUAGGUGAAGGUCCCCUAUGCUCGACAACAGCAUAUAGCUCAUACUUCAAAAGUACCUGUUAUAUGAGUAAAAAAAAUAUGGAACUCAGAGAAAUUGGAACAAUUAUUUAAAUUGCAGUUCACAAAUGCAAUUUUGGCAGCAACAUAAAGGAUUUUAAGAUCUCUCCAAUAGCAUUAAAAUCGUAAUUUCUAAAACAUCGAGCUUAAUUUUCCGCAUUUUACUGCAAUUUAAAUGUCUGUAGUUUAACCACAAUCGAACCACAAUUUAAAGCCAAAAACUUGAAAAAAUGUAUGAAAGUGUAAAAGAAAUUCCAAACUUACAUUGUCACCACUGCUACUACCACAUGUAUAAGGCUUCAGGUCCAGUUCCUUAGAGAAAUCGACAUAUUUAUCAAUUUUUUUAACUGAGUCUCCAUCUUUUAGAAACCUUUUCAAAUGAAAUGCUGCAACUGAAGGAGCUUUAUCAAGCAUAAGCUGUUUUUCCAUAGUUACUUCUUGGUUGCAGUCACUACAAAUAAACUUUCCAUCCAUCUUUUCUACCUUGGUGAAAGAUUCCAGAGCCUGCUGAAUGGUACUCACAUGUUCUAUCUCUAAACUCAUGUCGAUCAAUGGCUCAAAUUUAUCAGAAGAGUGACCACAGCAGCAACAUCGAAGCUGAAUAAUAACAAACAUCAAUACAAGAUAAAAUUAAAAUCAUCGGAGAAUAAUAAGCACAAAGAAGCAUGGUUAUAAAUUGCGGUCCUCCACCGCACAAUAUUCUGGAUUUGAAGUCUCUGCAAUGAUAUCACAACUACAAUUUCAACUGCAUCGGACACAUUUUCCUGCAUUUCACCUACAUAAGGUUUGCAGUGUAGCCACAAAAAAAAACGCAUCCCCAAUUUAAAACUAUGCAAAGUGUGAUUUUACAUUAAGUUAGCAACUACACUUGAUGAUGUGACACCAUCACACCAAGGUUUUUCGACCACCACAAUUGCCACAAUUACAAUUGUGACGCCAAGGUUUUUCGACCACCGCGAUUACAAUUGUGGCAGAAUCAGCCAUAUUUUUCAAAGUCAGAAUUGUAAUUGCAAUUUCAGUCGCGACCAUUGUGAAAUUUUAAGAUUAUAAAGAAUCAAUUGCAAUUUGCAGAGAUACCAAAAAGCCUAAUGAUGUAACUUAAAUUGUAGUUCUAUACAUUAUUUUAAAACACUGUGCAAUGUAAAUGCUGACCAUAACUUCAAACCUUACAAAUGACAGAAAGUUAAUUAAUUAACCAAUAAUAAACUACCAGGAUAAAAAAUAAUUGAUUUUAUGUGAAUCAUACAUACUUUGCUAACAAGACGACCCCCAAAUAUUUGAUCAAUUAGAUUUUCUUCUCCAACUGGGAAGCCUCUUUUCAGUUUAUUCAAAGCAUAUUGCAUAAACUCAUGUGCAUCCUCCUGGUUACCUAUUACAAAACCAGCUGAAAAAUCUGAUACCAUAUAUGUCAUGGAUCACAAUUCACAACACAUUCAAAUAAUAAAUUGAUAAACUUUCCCAAUUAACAACAAUAAAAAAGGAUACAGUUCAAAUUUUUAACAAGCUCUCUUGGAACAAUUGGAGAUCUAGAACGUUCCAAAGCAUCGUCAAGGUGAUCCCGGAAAGCACAAAUAACACAGAAACCUUCCACAUCACCUGAAAAUCAAUUUCAACCAUUUCCAUUGAUCAAAAUCUUGAUAAUCAUUUAUUUUCAAAAUUAAAGAAAAACACUGAAGAAUACAAGAAAUUCAACACUGAAUAAAUAUAAAUCCUUACAUGAAGAUGCAUGAGUGCAAUAACGAAGACCAAGAAACAUUUGCACUGUAUGUGUAAAACACUGAAGAAUUGCACUCAUAAAACAUGUGUUUCCCAUAUUCGUAAUUCCAGCUCCCUGCAAAACGAUUGAGUCGGAUACGGAGUUUUCAAAAUAAAAGAUAAUACUAAUAAUUCAACUCUUCAUGCAUGCACCAAGAAAUUCAUUCAAUUUCAGAAAUUAUCAAAAUUCAAGAUACACCAUAAAAAUGAAACGAUAAUAAAUAUAAUAGUAACAAAUUAAUGAUGAUAACUCACCACCGAUUUCAACGAAGGCGACCUAGGCGACGACGCGGUGGCAAAGAAAUUGUUGAAAUUAUAACCGUAGUCAACGGGAGACCAACCGCCAUUAUCGAUUUCGAAAGGUUUACGGCUAUUAUACGAAGCAAGAUUUGUGUGAAUCGAGUAACCUUGAUAACCAAAAUCAUCAUCAGAAGGAUUAGCAAGAUCAGCAAGAUCAGCAAGAGCAGAGAUACCAGUUUCCAACUGAUUACUCCACCAAGAGGUUCCAGAAAACUGAUCACCGGAGGAAGUAGUUAAGAUCGAACUCAGUGGCUUCUGUUCUUCAUCGGUUAACGAUGGAAGAUCGUCGAUAACGCCGAACGCCGCCGUAACUUCCGACGUAGACAGUGGUUUUGGCGCAAAAGAUAACGGCGGGGAUUGUAGAAUAUAUCGCGCCGCGAUUUCUGCGGCGGUUGGUGGUGGUUUGUUUGUGGUGGUUUGUGGAGGAGAAGAUGGAGCAUUGUGAGAGGUAUUAGAUUCGGGAUUAGGCUCAGGUUCGGGAAUGGGAUUGGGAUUAGGUUCGGAGUGAACGAGUUCAGGAGAAGAAGGUGAAGAAGGCAUAGCUGGUGGAAUGAACAUUAAUGGGAAAUCUGAAAUUGGUCCCAUUGGGUUAAUAUAUAUAGAAAAUUAAGAUUGGGUUAUGAAAUUAUUAUUUAUGAUCAAUGAGUAUUAGAAUGAAUUAUGCAAUGUUGUUCAUAGUUGUUGAGGAUGGGAAUGUGAAUGUGAAUGUGUUGUUGUAAUGUUCGAAAAAAGAGUAAAUGGAGGGAAAGCGUGAGAGAGGUGAAGAGUUGCUUUGAGUGACUCACUCAUCUGAUGUGUCAUUUUCUUAGCCGUCAUUAUCACGUAAAAGUUUCUUACAUCAUUUUUAUUAAAGUCAAUUAAGUUCUUAAUUUAUUUUUUUAAGGGAAUUAAGUUCUUUAGAGUCAUGCUAAGCGGCAUCCCGGUGCUGACAAAUGUUCAAGAGACACAGGUACUAGUUAAAGAAGUCAAAAGAAAAAGUUUUAAGUAAAAAAUAUUUUUUCUUUAAAGAAAGCAAAUCAAUUCAUUUCAUUAGCCAAAAGAUAUCAAAUACACGAUGGUAGAUCAUCAUAAAUACAAAGGCUAGGAUCGGAUGGGGUUAAGUCAAAAACAAUACUUUCUCCAUCGCAUAUUAAGCGACCCCUUUGUAAAAAAAAAAAAGGGUUAAUAGGUCUUUACCCCCUAUAAUAUAGGUCAUUUUCGGUUUUCCCCCUGUAAAUUUUUUAUUUUGAUUCACCCCCUGUGAAAUAUAUUUGUUUUGAUUCCCCCCCUAAUAGGCCAAACAAAAACGAAAAUUUCUUGAAAAAAUAAAAUAAAAUUGGUUUUUGUUUGGUCUAUUAGGGGGUAAAUCAAAACAAAAAUAUUUUGCAGGGGUGAAUCAAAAUAAAAAAUUUACAGGGAAAAACCAGAAAUGAUCUAUAUUACAGGGGGUAAAGACCUAUUAACCCUAAAAAAUAUUAUUGCCAUAAAAUAACUCACUCAUUUCACUUUUUAAUACAACAUUAAUUAUUUUUAUUUUAAUUAUAACUAUAAUUAAUACUACUUUCAUCACUCACAAUUCAAUAUAUUUCAUUUUGCAUUUAUGAUAAUGGAAAAUACAAACAAUACUUGAAAAGAGCACGUAAAAUCUUUUUUUUCCUCUUCUUCGCUUAUAUAUUUUUUUAAAACGUGUGAAAUCAACAAAUAGCACACUUAAUUUAGGAUGGGUGGAGUAGUUUUUAAACUUCAAAAACAUUGACCGCGCAAUGUAAUAUUAUGUAUUUGAUUCCAUAACGAGAGUCUCUGGGACACCGGUUAAUAUUUUCUCUUAAUUUAUGAGUAUAAUUAAAUAAGGGUUUUGCUAACUAGUAUGACAUUGUUUAACGAUUCCCGGUUAAAAAAAAUUAUUAAAAAAUACUUCAAUUUUCAAUGCAUGCACAAGUUUCCAUCAAAAUUUACUACUCUAUCUGGUCACAUUUAUAAGCAAAAAACAACUUUUUAAGUUCAUUGAAUAAGUAAUGUAUCUCGUUUAUAAAUUUAACUAAAUACAUUAAUUAUUCAAUGAAUCUAAAAAGUUGUUGUUUUGCUUAUAAAUGCAAUCAAAGAGGGUAUCUAAAAUCUUUAAAAGGUGCUUUUAGGGCAUUCGCUAGCUUACCACUUUCGUAUUUUAUAAGAAGUCACUUUGGGAAAGAAGAAAAAACUGGUUUUAUUUUAAUUUGUUUUACAAUAUCAAUGCACCAUUAAUGUUUUUUCUAUCAUACUUUUAUUAUUUAUUACUCUCUUUUUCCUAUUUUUAAUUUUUUUUCAUAUCAUUAAAAAGAGAUAGUUUUGUAAAAUCACUCACAAUUUCUCUUUUCAAUACAAAAGUAUCCAUAUUUCUUAAUAGGGUCCUGCUAACCGGUGCCCCCGGGCACUGGUUAAGCAUACCAUAAAAGGGAAUUAUUACCAUAAAAGGAAACUGUUUUUGACUUUAUUAUAAAUUAAUUACACAAUUUCAAUGCAUUAACUAUUAUAUAAUUUCCUUUUUCAUAUCCUUAACCAGUGCCCCGGAGGCACCGGUUAGCAUUUCCCUUCUUAAUAUAAGUGAAAAUGUCAAAACGAUUUAUAAUAAAAUACACAUGGAAUAAUGGAGAAAUAUAGUUUUUGAAAUUUAAAUUUAAAUUAUUUACACAUAAACCUAUCUAUUCUGUAAUUAUAUCAUAUAAUCCCCUCAAAAAAAUAUUAUAUAGAAUAAGGUUUCCGCAUAGACUUAUAUUGGUUUACAUUUUUAGUUACUUUUUAUUUAUUUAUUCAUACAUUAAUAUGUUAGUUUUUUUUUUUAAAUAUCAAUCAAAUUUAUUUGUUUCAUAUUUUUAUAAGUCAGAAAUAAUGUCACUUACAAUAGUGCUUUAAUAAAUUAACAUGAUGCUAUUAACAUGAAUGUCAUGAGUUUAUUUGCAUAUUCAUCCUUUUUUAUUUUUAGUUAAUUUAUAUUGUAUCGAUGUACUCUAUCAAUUUAAAUAAAUAAAUAUUGUUUAUUUUUAAUUAUAAAAUUAAAAGUAAAUUAAAAUUUAAAAGAAUUGUCGACGUAAUUUUAGAUCAAUUGGUAGGAAUAUUGCAUUAUAUAUACACUGGUCGACGUUCGAACUCCACACACCUCAUUUACUAACCUUAAGAGGUGAAUUUCUAACCACUCUACUACUUGACCAAAAAAAAAAUUAAAGAAUAAGACACAAUAAAAUCAACACGUCCAAUGUUAUAACCUCAAAAAAAAAAAAAAAACAAGUGUAAUGUCAUGUUUGGUACAUCAAAUAGGGCGCCGUUUAUGGUAGGAGAGGUGAAUGGAUCUCCUACUGUAACAGACUGUGUAAAAGAUUUUUUUUUUUUUUUUACUAAAAUGACUUGUGUUUGUAGGUAGAGGUAUACAUUGAAAACCUUUUGUUUAUUUAAGUUAGUCAAUUAACUGUCGGGCAAUGUUGGAAUUUCCUCUUAAAUAAAAAAUUUAUUUUUUCACCUAGAUCUGAAUUCAGCUUCGUUGCUCUUCCAUUCUAGCAUUAUCUGCUCCACUCGUUGGACUGAAGAACACCACAUAUUCAUGAUCUGUUUGUAAAACCCAGAUAAAUUUUCCUCUCAAACCCAAUUCCAAUUUCUUUACCUCAAACCCAAACUCAUUUCUUUGAUAACAAAUUUCAACCAUUAAAAAAGAAACUCCUUUGCUGGUUUUGUAGAAGCGCUCCAAAAGCCCUUUUUCGCUUAAUUUUGUGAGAUCAAGAAUUGUUAAAUGUGUGAGCAUGUUGGGAACAUAUGCAAAAGAAAAGAAAUGCUUGCUUAGAGAAAUGUUUGCUGGAGAAUAAACAAGGCACAGGAACCUGUACAGACUGGCUGGGAUUUUUUUUCCAAUUUUACCAAUGCCAAAAACACCCUUUUUUAUAAUGAAUAUAGAUGUUUCAAUAACACAAUCCUAAUGGAUCAUAUAACAUGUAAAUCUCAGUCAUUCAAAAGUUUUAAAUUACAUCCAAUGGUUAACAUUCAUUUUGCAAAAAACAAACAAAAAAUAAUUCAAGUCUCCUACGGUAGGAGACCUAACGAGGUCUCCCACCGUAGCCUUUGCCAUCAAACAGAUAUCACCUAUAUAAUGUUAUAUAAAUUUAGUUACUGGUGGAUACCCGCCAAUUGCAAUCAACAAAAACAUAUAAAAGAGUUUGAAUUCUCUUCUUAAAAAAAGAAGUUAGGUUAAAACAGUAUUUUUCAUGCGAAAUCAGUGUUGGAGGUGUUGAGGGUUAUUAUGGAACCUCUUGACACGCAGCAAGAGUCCUCAUUUGUUGAGUCCAUUUGACAGGGAUGCAGUGUUUCUGGAAAAUAAGAAAUACUCCUUUUUGGGAUGGUGAGGUUCAGUACAUGUGUCAGUGAACUAUCAGAGGACAUGGUCCUAAACUGGCAGGUAACACAUCACAGUGUAGUAAGAAAUGGUGCGAUGCAUAAUUUUGAGGCAUCACUACUUAACAAAAACCAUCUGUAGACAGUUACCUGCAAUGUAGGUGCGGCCAUUUUGCGAGACCAAGGGCAGUACGACUAUGCAUCAUCGACUAACAUUGUGCAUUUAUUCAAGCACAGACUUAAUGGUUUCAGGAUCUACCAAAUGUGCAGGAAGGAGAAGCAAAGGGUGUGUUGCUAGCUAUUACUUGGUUUCUCUUGGUGUGGAAAAAACUCGAGAUCGCGUAUUCUCCUUAUUCUAAUCAAACAUCCAAUAAUGAGUAUAGAUCCUUCAUGUAAGAGCUUAUCUCAACUAUCUUUUGAACUUCUAUUUACAUAAAAGAUAAGUUUUUUUUUAGUUAGGAUAUUUUAAAAUACGAUGUUUAACCCUUUCUUUACCGAAACAAACCAACUCUUUUUAUUCAUGAUAAGCUAAGGAAUACAUGAUAGACUACAAUAAAAAAAUAUGGUGAUCAGAACAAGAGAACAUUAAAGAUAACAUUAUUGACCUUGCGACAAACCAGUAUUGACCAAUUAAAAAUGUAAGAUGUGAACCAAAACAUAUUAGCAACCUUAAAACAGUACCUAUGAUACAAAAUCAAAAGCACCAGUCUAAAUGACAAACUUGAAUAUUAAAGUGUCUUAUUCUUUGUUCAUCAAAAAAUUGUGUAUUGAGCUCUUCUCUUCUAUUACAUUCAAAACAUAAACGGCUAGUAUCUGUAGCAAACACAGAAGGUUCUCUUAAAUACAGAACAUACAAUUUUAGAGGAUUCGGUCCUGAAGAUCUGUCAUCAAGGAGGAUGCCAAGGAGGUGAGUUUUUUCCCAGUCUCUCCAGCAAUGUUCUUAAGGGAAGAGAUAUCCUGUUGUGCCUGUAAAAUAAGGGAGGGAAGGAGGGGAUCAGCAUACCAUAAAACAUCCACACGGAACAAAUACAAAGAAUCUAAUAAUGCCUUCAAUGCUCAUUAAGUUUGUGCCCAGUAUAAUAUAAGGAAUACCUGGAAAGAUAUUCUAUUGAUAAGGUCACUAGCAGCAAGAUCAACGUUGUCACUCGAGUCACCAAAAAGAUCAGCACUGGAGAUGGCAGAUGAACCCUGGAAAUACAAAAGGAUAAACCGAGUUAAGUAUCAAUAUUUAACUCCCUCUCUCCUGGACCCUCCAUUUUGUUUUUCCAUUCCUAGUUGCAAAGACAUAGGAGAAUAAGGAAUUCUUCAAAACAAAGACAAAAAUACCCAAGAAAGAAAAGAGAAGAUUACCGGAACAGAGCUUACCAAUCCCUCAACAUAUCUAUAUCUAUAAUAUCUGAAAUUCCAUGGCUUAAUUUGCUUUACACCAAAUAGAUGCCAAAAAUUACUUAAUUAAAUUUGGAACAUAACUUGUCCUUUCUCGCACUCAUCCCACUCAACCAACACUAGCCUAUAAAUUAUAACGAAUAGAAGAGACAUCUUUUAUCAAGAAGGAAAAGCAUGUCAAAUGCAUUGGGUUAAAUUCUGUCAAUUGAUGCACUACAACCCAUUUUGACAGAAGAGAAAACCAUACUAAAGCACCAAAAAAUGAGUUUCCACUCGUAAACAUUGGGUUACAAGAUUAUACAAUUAACAUUAAUGCAAAAAAAUUCGCAGACAUUGUGUUCAGAAAUAAUUUCAGGCCUUCAAUUAUGUAUGAUAUAAAUGGUUUGCCACAAUGGUGUUUACUAGUAAAACUGUAAUCCCUACAGAGUACGGUCGGACAGAAGGAAAAAAAACUGUGACCUGUAAAACAAGUCUGGAAUAAACUUAUCUUUACAAAAACACCUGUGAGUACAAUAUCAUUCAUAUUUUAUCUUCAGUAUGAAAUAUUCACUUCAAAACAACAUAAAUCACUAGCCCUUAAAUUUUCGUGUAAGUAUAGAUUAAUUUGCCUAAUUUCCCCAGAAAAUUUUGAUGGCGUAAUUAGUGAUCCUUGAUAAUGCAAAAAGACUAAUUUAAAUACUAAUAUGCAUGAAUCCCAACACUGACGCUUUGUUACGGUAAGUUACUGAAAGAAAGGACACAUACUGAAAACUUUGAUAAAGUUGCUUGAGCAUCCGCAUUAGCCUUGUUCUGGUCUCCAAAAAAUUGGGAUGAAGAAAUAGACUUUGCAUUUGAGAACUUCUUUCUUGCUUCAUCAGAUUCCUGAAUCUUAUACAGACACAGACAAAGCAAAAUGAGAUGCAUAACUGUGGUAAAAAAUAAAAUUGAUUGUGCAGGUUGAAUGACUUUAUUGAGAAAAACACUCAGAUGAAAGGCAACAUCUAGGUGAGAUAUAAAAGAAUGUUCAAAGAUUACAUGGGCAUAACAUAUAGGCAUUGUUUAAAAAAAUAACACCAAGAUUCGGGACAAAAAUACUAAUUUGUCCAAAGAUAAUCAAUAUCAUUCAGCCUAUGAUUGCAAUAAUGGCCAUCUACUAAUAAUUAAUUUUAAAAAGGUACACCCAUGGACCUAUAAAGUUUAUCUUUGUUCAGAUACAUGUGUUACUUCAUUCCAUAUAUUUCCUUUGGGAUAAUAUAGCAGUAAGUUGUAAUGUAACGGUGGUUGUUUUUUCUCUAGAGUUUUCUAUCUAUGUCUUAUUUAAGUUUGUUUCUAUUACUGGCACUCCUCUCAGCAAUCUCAUUCUCAUGGUAAUACUAUUGUAGUUUUGAAUAAUACUGAAGGUCCUACUGCAAAACCAUCCAAGACCACAAUGAUGAUAUCAUAGUAAGCUUAAAUACACAAAUGCAAAUAUCAAGCAUUUUGGUUUUAGUCCCUGUAAAAAUAUUUUUUGGUUUUAGUUCGUGCAAAUAUAUAAUUUUUUGCUUUUAAUCCUUUUUAUUUAGUUUUAGUCCUUGCAAAAUGUUUUCACAUUGGAUUUGGUCCUUGUAACAUGUAGAAUAUUUGAUUUUAGUCCCUCAAAAUAAGAACUAAAAUAAAUAUUAUAGGGACCAAUUUCAUUAUGAAUGGAUUUUACAGGGACUAAAACAAAACACCAAGGACCAAAACAAAUUAUUUCAUAUUUGCAAGACAAACAAAAUUAAAACAAAAAAUACAUGGACUAAACUCAAAUCGCUUAUAUUCAUAGGGACCAUUUGCAUAUUUAAGCCUAUAAUAGUAAUAUACAAUCACUGCACUUGCAAACACAGUUUUCAGCCACAAAUCUCUGUUUUCAAAAUUACACGGAAAUCCCUAGUAAAAUAAAUCAAAGGAUAUAGUGUUCCAUUAAAAAUUUGGAAGUGCACAAGGUGUGAAAACAUGUGAUUCUACAUACGUAUGGAUGCAAUUUCAUCUUUUUUGCAAAAUGUGCAAUGCUGGUAAUUUCUCCCGAAAUUGCAAACACUGUUUUUCUCAAAGGAUUGUAUUUUGUUAAAAACAUUAAACUGGGCGAAAAUAUCAAAAUUUGAACUAAAUCGUGUAUAAACUAUGUAAGCUCACCGCGUGCAGAAGUUAAUUUAUGCAGAUGUAAGAGUUGCAGGCAUAAGCUUACUUGCACUUUGGAGGAGCUAGGCCCAGAUUUCUUUUGAAAGCCACUAUCCAUUCCGAAGUCCGAAAAGAAGCUUGAUGAUGACUUUGGUACAGACACGUGACCGGUUACAUUUGAACCUCCAGAAUUCAACUCAGAUGAUUGGACAUCUUCUGUAUACUCAAACCGAGAUGUUAGAGGUGGCCCAGAAGGCAAGUUGUUUUUUGUAAUUGUCGAUGAUGAAACUGGAGCAGGUAGUUCUUCAGGCUUCUGCUCAUAGAGGGACUCGCUUGGCUGCAUUGCAUUAUGAUAAUAACUGGUUAAAAUUUUAUAUCACCAAAUUAAAAGAGAACAUACGAUAAUAACCGGUUAAAAUUUUGUAUCGCCAAAUUAAAAUAGAGAACAAGAUGCUGAUGAACCAAAAGGAACUUUCUGGAAACAAUCUUUAAUCAAAGAUAACUAUUUGCAUACCUUUCUAGUGAGCUUACGGGCUCCAAGUCCCCCACUCUUACCAGUUUUUUUGGCUCCAAUAGGCUUCUUCAAAUUAUUCGAAACUGCAGUAUAAGCUCUGGGUGAAGAACUGCUCUCGGUCUUUUCUGGCUUCUCCACAGUUUUUUCCACAGUCUUUUCAAUUGGGACUUCAUUUGUCUUAACAUCAGGAAGUCCAUUAGUCCCUUGGGCAGACUGAGAAGAAGCAGCAGGUGGUGCAGACAAGGCAGCCUCCUCAGACAUACUUUUAGCAACUUCCUUUGAAAGCAGUUGCUUAUACAACUCUGCAGCUCUGGAUGUAUACUUUGCCUCUACUUUACCAUCUCCGUUCCAUCCAUGCUGCCUAAAGAAAACCUGUGCCCUACUGUUUCCUCCAAAGCUCAUCAUUUUAAGUUGCUCAGGAGUCCACGAGUCUAAGUUCGUAGAUCUACAUAUAAAAAAUAUAUAUAAGUAUAAAUCUUUUAUGCCUUCUUACCAGUAUUCUACUACAGUACAGGACUAACUCAUCCCCAUUGAUUGUAAUGUAAUUCAUAGAAUAACUAAAUAUAAAACAAAGACACGGAAACAGGGUGAGAGAUUAAAUUUUUAGUCAGAGAAAACAGAAGCUUGAUGAAAUAGUUUUUACUUUUGAUUCAUGAAUUAAGCGUAUCAACCCUAACAAAUUUUACUCGGCAUAAUGGCAUAUAGCUCCUGCUCAACUUUUUCCUAUGAUAUACUCUGAAAAACCAAACUAAAAUGUUGGUUUGCAGUGGCAAUAAGUGAAGUUUUCUCUUACAGAAUCAAACUUAAUUUUUACUGGUUCCAAGUUUGCUUCAUCUAUUUUAAACCAGUUAAUCAGUUUCUAACUUCCAAAUUCUUAUCACACAUUGCAACUCAAGAAGCACCAGAAAAUUACAUUACAUAAUCAAUCAUUUUCCAAUCUAAACACUCCUCUUAACGCAAUAAAAAUCUCCAAUCUAAACACUCCUCUUAACUUAGUAAAGAAUCUCAAGGGAAAUAAUAUAAGGCUACCAGAAUCAACAACGAUAUCUGCACCAACCUGCUGCAAAAAGUAAAAUCAUGUCUAACCUUGUGCUCCAAAAACUAACUUAGAGUAUAAAUAUUCACCAGCAUUUAUUUAUUCAUUCUACACAGCUUCUCAAGCAUAAUAUCAUUCUACUCUUUCCAAAGUAGAAUGAAUGAUUUCAACUACACAAAUACUAAGAGGCAAAACCCCCAAUAUGAUUUCAUAGACGUUUCAAGUUUUAACCAUUUGAUUUGGGAAAAUUACUAAUCACUCUAUUAAGAAACAUGGUAGAACCCAUAGAAGUUUGAAAAUAAUACAAACCUUCAAUGAAACUCAAACGAUAAAAUGAGAAAGCGUGUUUGCAUUAAAGGGGUUACAUCACUUACAUAGCAAGUAAAUCCAACACACACACACACACACAUAACCGCAAAACAACACAUUACUCAAUAAAUUAAUCAACAUACAAAUUCAAACCACAUCAACAUACAAAAUCAAAUUUCAAAAAUUGGUAAACAAAUUCAUCAUUUCAUAAAAUCAAUCAACAAAUUACCUCACGAAACUGAUAUGAACACCGAGACUUCGAUGAACAGCAGAGCAAUCAAUGCAGAGGAAGAUCCCAUACGUUACAGACGCCCAUGUUGGAUUCUUCGCAUUGCAAUCGAAACAACUCUGAAACAAAAACCAUCACAACUUCAAAAAUCAAACACACGAACACACAGUAUCGCAGAUCUGAACCCGAUCUCGAGAAUCAUGAAAAUUCAAAAUUCAAAAAUAACUGAAAUCAAAGAUGAAAAUUAAAAAAUUCAAAUAAAACGAACCUUGUUUUCGGAUUUGGUUUUGAGUUUUCUGAAAACGGCGUUCUUGUCGGUGAAGCUAUCGGAAGCCAUUGAAAUGCGAUUAAGGGAAAAAUGAAACGGAAAAGGAAAUUGAAAAUGAUUUUUGAUUUAUAUGAAUAUGAUUUGAUUUGAUUUGAUUCGUUAGAAUCUAUUUAGGUUUUUGAAUUUGAUUUGAAUCUCAGGGGGUGCUUUUGAGGAAGAAGAACAGCACCUCCUGAGCAAUUUGCAGACGAAACGCAAAACUUUAUUUCUGUUUAUUAAACUUGUUUUCUCUUUUAAAAUGAGAAUAAAUAACUUUUAGUGUUCUUUACUCUUUUUUGUUUGGUACAAAUAUUCUUCUUUACUCUUCAAACACAACCAUAACAUAACUUUAACCACAAAAAUACAAAUAGCAAAUAAUUUAGUUUAUAUAUAUCGUGUAAGAAAAUUGGAUUUAAUUUGGUAGUGUAAUCCGUUUUCACUUGCAUCUAAUUAAAGUUCAUGAUGAUGUAGUAUAUUUUUAAGAGAUAGGACGUAGAUAUAAGAAAAAAAACUUAAGAAAGUGGCAAUAUAAUUUGAUUUAAUUGGAUUCGUUUGUAAAAAAAUCUUAUAAUGUUAGUGAAUCAAUAUAUUCUAUUCUUACACUCAUUGUGAUAAAAAAAAAAAUAUUACACUUUCAAUCAAUCAUUUAUUACUUUUUUUACUCAAACCGAAAUUGUUGAUAAAGUAAUCCAUAUGGUUGUAAUGUAUUGGCAAAAGUAAAACAUUUUAUAAUGAUAGUAUAUCAAAAUUAAAUUCAAUAGCAAAUUGGUAAUUCUCUCAGCAGCAAAAGAAAAAAAUUAGUAAUUGAAAUUUUGAAUAUUGGUUGAAGUAGAUUCCUAAUUUUAAAACUAUUAAAAAAAAAUAUAUAUCCUACGUUAAGUUAUUUGACAUAAAAUUAUUUGAUAUGAUUGUCACUUUUUAGAAGCUCUGAAUGCUCACUCUACGUUUUUUUGUAAUUCGGUUUCAAUCCCACACGUGGAUUCACUGAAUUGCCCGUGGUAGUGAUUGUUUAGAGCUGUGUCCUUUUUUAUACUACUUAUGUGCUGAUUUGUUGUAUCCCCGUUACAGGUUGUUUUUUGUGGUUUCCUAGGUCAGGUUUAUGCCCCCUAGUCUUGUACUUCCUGAUCUUUUUUAAUUUAUUUUUAUUUUGGCAUAAAAAAAAAAAAAUUGACAUGAUUGAAUUCUAAUGUGACCUUAAGUCAUUGUAACACAUUAGGUUAAAUUAUGUGCUUGUUAAAAUUAUUUCCCCCAUCUAUUAGCGCUUACGGUUACAUUGAUGAAUGAAUUUGCUUGUUAUUCUAACUUUAAUCUAAUGCUUUAAAAAUUAGGUGAGAGAUUAGGUCGAUGAUAUCUCAAACGAAAGUACAUUUAUUUUUAAUUGAUAAAUGUUAGUAUGUUAAUUGUUUAUGAGAAUUUUUUUUCUCUUUAUCGGGACUAGAACUCUCGACCUCCAACUCUAAACUAUUCAACAACCAAACUUGGUUGAAACUUGAAAAACUUAAAUGAGAAGAUCCCUUUAAUUAAUCAUUUUUUUAUCAUUUAUAUAAACUGACUCGAACCACUUGUUUGAAGAGUUCAUAUUAUUCCAACGAGACCAACUAAAGUUGGUUCAAACAAACAUGAUUUAACUAGAAUGUGCUUAAGGGGUGAAUUUGAUAUGUUCAUAAGAGUGAAAACAAUCUGGAUGCAAUAGGUUAUGGCAGUUGCUAUUGGAGAAGCAUUAGAAAUUUAGAACCGGUAGCAGCGGCUAAAUGGGUGAGAGAAUUGGCAUUAAAGUUAUUUUUUGCUUGGACACUAAAUUAACUAUGGAUUAUGUGAACUUAGAUAUGUGAGAUGAUACAGAGUUAAGCUCUACUUUAACUAGAUGUAGAGAUGAUUUAUCUGAUAUUUGUAACAACUUUUAUGUCGAAUUUUCUAAGAUGUUUAUUAUGGUUGUUCAUAACCUUACAAAGAUGAUCUUAUAAUGACAAUUCUCAUUUUGAUUUUGACAUGCAAAAUUGUAUUAAUCAUUUGAAACCAUUUGGUUAAUACACAUUAGAAUGUUGGAAUGACAACAGUUAGAAUUAUUCUUUACCCAUGUUUUACAAAAUAUCAUUAACACAUACUCAUGUCAUGUGUCCUUAGGUAGUAUUUUAGUACACGUAUUUUACCUAUUGUUACUUAAAUAUUAUACUUGUCAUUUACACUAUACAGACAACCAUAUAAAGAUCAACUUAGGAGCAAUUAUUUUAGGGUCACAACUCCAAAUAAAAAAUUAUGACAACUUUAGUUAUGGCUGUUGCACAGCACAAAGGUCAAAAAACAAGAGACAAUGAGGAACAAAUACUAGAUAAUCUAAUACUUCUUCCGGCCGCAUCAAUUAUAAACAAUUUUUUACUUUUUAGGUUCAUUAAACAAAUUAUGCAUGUGGUCUAUAUUAUAUCAGCCAUUUUGGGAAACGAUGUAUCGGCCAUUUCAAUUCCAACCUCACUUUUUUAAUGAUGAAAACCUUAUUUGAUUGGACAAUUUAAGAUCAAUGCCUCCCCUGAACUUGUGUCAUCAGAGAUUAUGAAAAUAAGGAAUACUACUUGGUACUGUGAUGAUAUAAAAUGGUAUCAAAGCUAUAUGAAACUCAAUUAUUAAAAAUAUCUGCUUCAGAGGUGUGCUUGCAUAAAUCAAACUUAAUUUCAUUACAAUUAUUCGCUAGUUCCAUAAAAUAUAUACACUGAGCAUUAAGAACUAAAGGUUUAAUACCAUAAGUAAAUGGAAAUUGGUUUAAAAAAGUAAAUGGGAGGAUUUUUUUUCCCCUCUAUUCAUGACCACGGUAAAAAAAUGGUAUUUUUUUUACAAAAGAAUGGUAUUUUAAACUUUCCUAUUACAUUACAAAUACAAUUAGCUGGUAUUGGUAAAAAAAUUUGAAGGAUUCUCUUAAAUUCAUAACAUACAAUUUUAGAGGAUUCGGUCCUGAAGAUCGGUCAUCAAGGAGGAGGCCAGGGAGCUGAGUUUUUUCCCAGUCUCUCCAGCAAUGUU
rnacentral:lncRNA from 1 species